GUGAGGCUACUAUGCUAUCGGAAGCACGGAGCCUUCCGUGCUUCCAGCUCGUUUUCGAUGUUGCGACUUUCGAAUCGUCGAUCGGCUCCGUUAAACUUGAUCUAGAGUAUUUGAAGUACCUAGAAAAUAAAUUUUAUGAUUUUACGAUAUCAUUUGCCUAGUGAACGAAGGGGCUCAAAAUCAACGGCUGAAAAUAAAAAUCUUACAAAAUGUGAUAAUAUGACAUUAAAAUUUUAAAUCAAAGAUAUUGAUCUUGUUUUAUAUAGUAUAAAGAAUUUUCUAUCAAAAUUUCACGUGAUUUGGAUAUUUCUACACCGUUAAACUUGCAAAUGGCUCACUACGACCAUUGAAAUUUGUUGAUUUUGAGCCCAUUCGAUCACUAGGCAAAUAAUAUCGAAAAAUAAUAAAAUUUAUUUUCUAGGUACUUCAAAUACUCUAGAUCAAGUUUAACGGAACCGAUCGAUGAUUCGAAAGUCGCAACAUCGAAAACGAGCUGGAAGCACGGAUGGCUCCGUGCUUCUGAUAGCAUAGUAGCCUCACUCUAUAUAUAUAUAUAUAUAUAUAUAUAUAUAUAUAUAGUAAGGCUGCUGUGCUAUUAGGAGUACAGCAGCUCUUGUGCUCCUAACUUUCUAACCACACAUCAAGUUUGAUGGUGGUUAGAAUGAAAGAGGGAUGGGAUAUUGGGGAGAAAUUGGAUGUCUCAAUUUCUCUUCUUCUUGAAUUACUUUUCAAUAUCUCAUUCCUCUUUAUUCUAACCACCCAUCAAACUUGAUGUGUGGUUAAAAAGUUAGGAGCAUAAGGGCUGCUGUGCUCCUAAUAGCACAGUAGUCCUACUCUCUCUCUCUCUCUCUCUCUCUCUCUCUCUAUAUAUAUAUAUAUAGAAUUGAGCUAGAAUAUUGGUUGGUGCUUCUAGGUUUCUAAUCCUUGGAUUUACUCCUUGAUUACUAAUAACUCUUGCAUCAAACAUUAUUCUACCUACCACCACCUACCACCAUCAUUUCAACCCUACAUCUCUCCAUCCAAUGGCUAAAAACUCAAAAGCACUAAGGCACUAAGGGGUAGCCAUUGGAUGGAGAGCUGUAGGGUUGGGAUGAUGGUGGUCGGUGAUGAUAGGUGAAAUAGUGUUUGAUCCAAGGGCUAUUGGUAAUCAAGGAGUAGAUCCAAGGGUUAGAAACCUAAAAGCACUAAGGGGUUGGUUCUUCUAAAAAUAUUCUAGCUCAAUUCUCUCUCUCUCUCUUUCUCUCUCUCUCUAUAUAUAUAUAUAUGCUACUAUACUAUUGAUAGUACCAAAUGUUUGAUACUAUUGAGUUUUUGACCAUUGGAUGAAAGAAUGAGCUUGCGAUUUGGAGUUUAGAAGAAUAUUUGUGCUAGUUUUAAAAAUUUAGAUGAGUGUUAGUAGGUUGGAAUAAUUAGAGGCGAAUUGAUGAUAUUUUAGAUUUUGGAGUGGUAUUUAUAAUAUUUUGAAGUUUAGGGGUAGAUUUGAAAUUUCCAAAAAAAAUAGUAAAACCUUGGGCAUGUUUUGUUUAUCUAUUUUAGACUAUGAAAUUGAAAUAAAAUUCAUUGAUUUUGAUUGUUAUUGUUUGCUUUAUAAGAAUCGUAUUCCGAAUCUCAUUUUAUUCGGAAAUGGGAAUAACCAAAUCAAUUUAUGGUCCAAUCCGACUUUGAAUUCCGGAUUAGCUAAUUUCAAAAUAAACUACUCAAAAUCUUUCUUCAUCAACACCUCUCCCUUUUUUACUUUCCUAUUUCUUAAUUAAAAUUCUCACUCAAAAAUUUUAAAUUUUUAUUCCGAUUUUUAUAUCAAUAAUGAGCUAAACAUUUUUGAAUGAUUCGUCAUUCUAUUUUCUAUUUCAAAACAAUUCAAUUUUAUUUUUUUCAUUUUUAUUUCGAUCAUCAACCAAACAUGCGCUAAAUGCCUUUCCUCUACCUUUGACGAUUUUGACGUUAAUAAGAUAACGGUCUGUGAGCUGCUGCCGUGGAGAAAUUUUUUCCUGCACCGGGUGUAUAUGCAACAUUAUAUUUGAUAAGAUUAACUUUCUAAAUUCAAUUUUGUCUUCGCUCGAUUUCUACUCCUUCGUACGGCAAACGCAUCAAACAUCGUCUGGGGCGACGACGUCCAAGGUCUUUGGAGCUUAACAUCUCAAAUCUCCGAACGCCAGAAAAAAAUCGAAAGGUCUAACUAUGCUCGCGGCUACUUGGCGGGUCGUUUGGACUGAAUGGAACUGCAUUAUUUUUCAGUCGAAUCUACCCAACGCCAUUAGAGCCUUUGAUCGUGUCGUAAGUCUAUCCAACUCCUGGAUAGAAUUACUGUAACUUGAAUUCUUCUCCCUUUCCUCUCUCCCCCUACUUCUUCCCCAUCCUUCGUUUUCUUUUCGGUUUUCACUUUUCUUUUUUCUUUUUGCGUUCUACUUUCUUUUCACCUAUUGGGUUUUGCUUUUUUUUUCGGUUCCUGUUUUCUCUAGGAAGCUUUAGCUGUUUUCAUUCUGUACGUUUAAUUCAUUUUUCUUAAUGAAUGAAGCAGGUAACGCGCUCUUUUUUAAAAAAAGCUUUCUAAAUUCAAAACCCUAUACAAAAAUAUGAUCUAUAUGACUUUAGAUACUAAUGAACUAUACAGAAGAGUUGUUGACUAUCAAAAUUAUGCUCUUAUUGUCGAUUUAUUAACUGCAAGUAGAUCAAUGCUAGAAGAAUUAGUAAUGUAUUAAAAAAAAUUAUUCCAUCGCAAAUAGUAUAAAAAAUCAAUGGUAACGAAAGGGUUGCCAGUUGAUGCGUCCAAAGUCGAUGUCCAAAAUUUUUUAUUUUUGAUAUGUAAGACUUAAAACAAAUCAAACGAGCUCGAUUUUGAAUUUGAAUAUACACGUACAUAUAAUGUGAAGUUGCAAGGCAUAGCGCACGAAAUGUGUGCACAUGGUGUAGGCAAUAAUUUCUAGUUGCUGAUGGAGGUUUUGUGGGAAUUUCCUAAAGUCAAACAAUGACUUGGCUACUAAAAUAUUUUAAUAAAUUCUUUGUUAAAUUCUAAUUCAAAAUCAUCCUAAUUUUAAAAUUCUCCAGUUUAUAUCUUUUAAUGAAGGACAGGGUUGUCGCAUAUAUUCAAAUAACCCUAUCACAAAGAUCUUAAAUUAGAAUUUAAUUCAUUAGGUAUAUUUUAUAACGAUCAAAAAGGCCUAUUUAUUAAAUAUUGCAAAUUCAGACUCCUAUUUUUCAUGAAUUGAACAUUUUUUCUUUCUACACUUAAUUUUUUUAAAAAAUACCCAAUAGUUAGGUAAUAAUUUUCAGAACUAGGCUGGAAUACUAUCAAUAGCACCAAGCAAUUAGUGUUAUUAGAUUUUCGGUCUUUGAAUUGAGAAAUAUACGGCUAAGAUGAUGUGGGCUCCCUAGGGUUGAGUGGGUGGUUGGUUGAACUUGAAUAGUAUAAUCUAACAAGUAAAAAUAAUCAAAGGGGUUAAUCUAAUGGCAGGAAAUUUGAUAGCACCAAGUAUUUGGUAUUAUCGAUAGUAUAGCAGCUAGACUCUAAUUUUCAAGAUCUAUAAUAUUUUCUCCUUUCGAGAGACUGUUUGGAUGUCAAAAUAAGUUAUUCAAUAAAAUAACUUUUCUUUUAUGAUUACAAACUAAAAGUUUAAAUUUAGCUCCUUACAAGGUCUUAAUGGUCAGGAUUUAUUAAAAUAAGUAUAUUUCAUUUAUAAUGAACUUUAUCUUGCAGAAUAAAAAUAAUAUGGAGACUGAACAUAGUAUACUUUGCUACAUAUUUGAUCAUACCCUCAUCUACCGAAUAUUGCAAAUAAUAAUUUUAAAAUUCAGAUCACGAAAUAUUGAGUGCGGUGCAUGAGAUGUGUCCGGAUACACCAGGUGCAAUCAAUAUCUUAGAAAUCAACGUCCAAUUAAUUAAUGAUCCUUAGGAUGCUACAGCUGAAAUUUUCGUAGAAAAUCAACAUCCAAUUAAUUAAUGCGCUUUAGGAGAUGUUACAUCUAAACCUAACUGAGCUUUCCAAUCCCUAUCAACAAAGAAGAAACAUCUAAACUUGGGACGUACGGUAGGGCAUAGUAAUAGAUCUAAUUAUUAAAUGCACCAAAUUCCAGUUAGGGGCUGUUGGUUCCACAUAAAAUUGUAAAAAAAAAAGAAAAAAAAUCAGUGAAAAUAAAACUUUUGAGAGGAAAAUAAAUUUUACACUCGUCGGUGUUUAAUUUGUAGGGAAAAAUUCCAUCACAGCUGUUUGGGUGAAAGAAAAAAAUAAUAAAUAAAAAAAUAUUAUAUAUAUAUUUCUUUUAUUUUAUAUAUUAUAUAGUAUAUAUUAUUAAUAUAUAAUAAUUAUCAUAUUACAUAUAUUAGUAUUAUAGUUUAUAUUUAUAAAUAAAAUAAUAUUGAAAAUACAAUAAAUAUGUAAUAUAAUAAUAUAUAAUGAGUACUAUACUAUUUAUAGUAAGUACCGAAGCUCCGAUAUUUUAGUCUUAUUUUUUAUUUCAGAGUGCUCAAAUCAACGAUCCAUACUGAUAAAUAUGAUUUAAGAUAUACGAAGUUUUUAGAAAUAAAAUUUUAAUUUCUUUUCGAUAUCAUUUACUUAGUAAGUAAAUCAUGUAAAAAAUGAACGGUAAAAAUUGAACAAUUUUUAAAAUUUGAGAAUAGAAUUUUUGAAUUCAAGAUCAAGGAUGUUGUCCUUGAUUAGAUAGUUUAAAGUAUUUUAUAUUAAAAUUUGAAUAAAUUUUAAUUUUUUUACACCGUCAACUGUAAACUCGCCAUAGUGGCCUUAAAAUUUGAUAUUUUAAAAUCAUUUGAUUUAUAACUAAUUUAUAUAAAAUAUAUAAAUUUUAUUUGUAAAAUUUUUAAUCUAAAUCGUCUUUACUGUGUGAUCUUGAUUCGAACAUUUAAUUUGAACAAAUAUAUAUAGUUAUAAGAGUCUGCUUAUAUAAUAGUCUAGAUUUAAUGACUAUUAUAAAUUAAAAUUAGUAAUUUUAAAUUUAAAUUUAUAUAAUAGUAUAUUUUAUUAAAAUAAAAUAAUAUUAUAAUUAUAUACAUAUAAUAUUAUAUAUUAUAUAUUAUUAAUAGUAUUAUAUUAUAAAAUUAACUGGAUACUAUUAAUAGUAAACGUCUUUUUGAUAUCAGUUUGAACCUUGGAUAAAUUAUAGAGUCAGGAUGAUAUUAGUCGGUUAGAGUUGAGUGGUCCCCCUAGGGUUGAGUGGUCCCCACUGGGUUAUAGUAUUUAAUCCAAUGAUUAGAAAUAAUGAAAAGAGUUGAUCCAAAGGCUAAAAAACUGGUAGCAACAAUAGAAUUUUGCUACUAAUAGUAGCCCAGCCGAACUCUAUAUAUAUAUAUAUAUAUAUAUAUAUAUAUAAAAGAGGGGCAGAGAGAGAGAGGUCCACCGUGGAACACUCUCAUGCGGUCUACGAGGUGGUGUGGUCCUCGUGUUGCACCUCCCACUGCAGCGUUUUUUCAGCCUAAAUUUUCGUUUUAUGCUGGACGAGAGCGGAAAAUAAAAACUUCUCUUUUCCUUACAAUCUGUAAAAAAAAAUAUUUUUCAAGAAAAUUUUUUUUUGAGCAACUAAACAACGGAAUCUUACUUUUCAACCAAAAAAAAUUGUAGAAUAAUUUUACAAGGACUCAAACACACCCUAAGUUUCAAAACACUGACAGAGAAAAAUAGCCUUAGUUUACUCUAUUUUAUUGCAUAAAACUCGAUCCAGAUUCCAAGCAAGACGCUUAUUAGUGCCUCUUGAUGUUGAUAUACUUAGUCCACCAAAUCAAGUGUUUUUAAUAUUAAACUUUGGAAAAUUCUUUCAUGUAUCUUCAUUUCUAAUUGAUUAUUAUUAUUAUUUUUUUGCUUGUCAACUAUAAACCAGCUGGUUGAAGCAGCAAAAUAGAGUUCUAUAUGUUUAGGUAUUAUAUUUGUUUUUGAACUUCUAAAAUGUUCUAUGAUUUAGAUGAUUAUAUUUUCUUUUCUUUUCUUUUCUUUUCUUUUUCCUUUUUUCCUUUCCCCUCAAAUAUCAAUUUUAUCUAGCUGGAUGAAGCUGCACACUGUAGUCCACAUGCCAAGAAAUAUGUUCUUCCUGCAUUAAAUACCCCGGUCCUUAGUUUUUUUUUUUUUUUAUUUUCAGAUAACAUUCUAUGCAGCACAAAUGGCACACAAAAAAGUAAAUAUUAUUUACUUGUAUUUUUCUUUUGUUUCUUCUUAACUAUUAUCCAGCUGAAUGAUGCAGGUCACUCAGUCCACAAUGUUAAUGAAUAAUCCUUUCCGUAUUAUAUUCUCUAAUCUAGGGCUCUUGUUUUUUUUCUCCCCCUUGUUUUUCUCUAGCAUUUACAGGCUUAAUUUACAUUAAUUGCACAAGAAAGUUUUGGUUUGGUCAGAGUCCAUAACCUAUUCUAAUCUCUAAGCUUCCUCUCACAUCACAUUAUCUGAUAAGUUAUGCUUCUGCUGGUGACACUAACUUCUAACAUUUUGCAACUACAUGACAACAUAAAACUACAUACAGAUAUGGACAUACUGAUAGAAACAGCUAAAGGGUGUUAAAAACUCCGUAAGAACUUAUCAGAGCGCAUGUGUUCAGAGUCCAUACCAUUGAAUGCAUAAAAGAAAAAGAUUGUUACAAAAUACUGUAACAAAGUACUUAAUAGAUUUUACUUGCAACUUUUGCCUGCAAAAGAUCAUACAGCAUGACGAACGAUUUUCUAUUGACUGGGGAGGUGAGAACUACUUGGCCAAUUUUCCAUUCUAUCGGCAAGCCUUGAAAACUGUUGUGUGAAGCAAAUUUAGUAUGUGAACUCAAGGAAUAUUCACCCUAACAGGUGACUAUUGCAACUACAACUAGAUUCAUUGUUUUGCUGUUCGAAUGUCAGAUCUGAAAAGCAUUCAACAUAGUUAAACAAACCAGGAGUCAAAAGCAAAAUAUGAACCAGAGCAGCAGAUUAACAGAAAGGCACAGAAUUACAAGAAAUGAAUAAUACCUCGGCUUUUAUUAGCAGGCUUAAUUUUGAAUACAGCAACCAAAAAAUAAUCGGAGACAGCUCCAGGUCAAACAGCGAGAAAUUCCUUCACUUUACAUAAACGUAGGAUACUUCUCACCAGGUAGAAAUACGACCAUGAAUGAUAGCCAGGGACCGGAACAAACGCCGAUGCUGAGAAAAGCUCCCUUCAAAGAAUGCAUGAUUUGAUCCUAAGUAACCCUAAGUCGAGAAUAUCUAAUCCACCGCAGGGAGAAUCCUUCCCAAAUUUACAACUGGGAGAAAAAAAGAAGGAACAGAGCAAUGGCAAUCCAUGGUUCUGUACAUAUGAAACACUUGAACAGGCGAUCGUGUGCUUGUUCCUUGCUUUAGGAGUAACGCUACUACUAUGGCAGCGAUUCAGAAAAUGUAUUCAUCCUCGAGCUGCGGUUGGGUCCGCAUUAACGGGACCUGUGGCAUCCGAAAAUUGCCCACUUGCACCAUUUGCAACGGUAUUCCGGUCUCAGACUGGUGUAUCAUUUUCGCCGUUCUCUUUUCCUGUAGAUACCGAUGAAUCCACACCACAAGCAAAGCCAAGAGAAUCAAACCAAGAAACCCUCCAACUACCCCUCCGACAAUCUUCCACACCUUCGAAUGGCUCUUAUGGACAGGUGUAGUACCUGGUGCGGGUGCGGGUGCGGGUGCAGGUGGAGGAGGGAUUGCUGAAGAGUUGAUCACAACAGAAAAGUGGCCCUGACUAUUUGUCGAACAGGUGGCGGGCGCCUCCAACUCCCCUAUCUUUGCUGUGCCAUUUAUAUUGAACCACACACAUUUCGCGACAACUCCAUUGGGAACAGGACUUACAUCUGUGAAUUCAAUCAAAAUCGGCGAUUUUGAAGCCACGAUAUCCAAUUCGGGUAAGUGGGUGGCCGACAGAUUCGCCGCAUCAUAAGCAAGAAGGCCAAGCACCGGAGCCAAGUAGGUAUACCCAGGGAGUGGGUAGUAAAAGGAGGACCAGUUGCCGAGAUUUUGGUAAACAAGAACGAGCCUUUGGACGUACGGGCGGACCACAAUGCCGGUCGGAAUUGUGAACUCUUUAUAGUUUGCAAAUCCCCUCUUCUUCAAACUACCGUUUCUUAGCCUCAACGCCGCGAUCUUGAUGCCGGUGAGAUUGUUUGGGACCGUACCGUCGUAGAUGAUUCCAGUAUGAGGGUGGUGGAAUGAUCUAAAGGCGUAAUCUUGAAGAAGGGCAUCUAAAGAUCUCGCAGGGGAUUGUGCUUUACAUAGGUACGGUAACAAAACUCCAAUGAGCCAAAUUAAGAGCAUGAAUCGAAUAAUGAACUCCAUAAACUCCAAAAUUUCUUCACCAAAUUCACUUUACAGCUAUAAUCCAACUCUAAUUACAAAAAAGAAUUCAAAAUUUGAGGAAUCGAACUCAAAUCUCUGCAGCAUCGAUGUGAGAUCUUCGGAACGAGAAACAAGGCUAAAAACGCGAGCUGUUUCUGAUGUAGUACCUGCAUCAACCUCGACGAAAACCCUAAAAAGGAGCCGAGAUUCGAUCAGAGCAAACUUUUUGCAGUAAAUCCCCGAAUCUUCUCUAAACAAAUCACACUAUUCUCGGAGAAAAAUCGAAGAGUCAAAUAACAGCUUCACGAAUCCACCAAUGCCGACGUAUCCGAGCUCAAAUCGCGGAGCUGCGAAGCGGAGAAAACCCUCGAAAGCGACCGAAAUCGCGACCGAAUCGGAGGAAUCCACGCCGCCAGUAACACCACACGAUCAAAUCCCCGCGAAUCGAAUCCACCAAAUACGUUGGGUAAGAUCCCGAAGAUCGCAAUGGAGAUUGAUCGCGAUAGGGUUUUAAUGGCUUUAAAGGCUUUUAAAACCCUAAAAUCUUCUCCAAAACAGAGAACCAAAAAAAAACGAGUACGAGAGAGGAAGAGAGAGAGAGAGAGAGAGAGAGGGAAAAAGAUCACGAGAGGUUGCAGAAUAAAAACAGAGCGAUAUGCCACUGGGAGUUUAAAUUACCAAAAUACCCCUCACAGUUCUCGGAAGCGGGGCGAAAGCGUCGCCGUUACGCCUUAACGCCGUUACGCUUUCGCUUUCCGCAGAUUUCUUUUAGGAAAUUACCCCCUGAACAAGGUGCAUCCGUACGCUACAAACACCGAUCUUGAUUUUUUUUUUUUUUUAAGAGCAAUUGCUUAUAUACCCUGAAAAGUUUCCGAUUUUCUUAUUUAUCUCUCUUAAAAGGCUAAUAUUGAAAAUACUCUUCUUAUGUUCCAAGUUUUUGGAAUAUACCCCUGGAAUUAAGUUCCGUUAAUGAGCUACCGUUAUCUCUGAAAAAUUACCAUUUUGUCCAUUCCAAUAUAUCUUGUACCGUAACUAACUUUUUUUAUAUACCCUUUAUAUAGCAAAUACUUUUCUUAUUUGUCAUUCAAAUAUCAAUCAAUUAAUUAAUUAAGCACGUCGGGAGCGAGCAGAUGAACGGAUGAGAUCGAUCGCAGCUAAACCAACCUUGGUAGCUGUACGACAAAAAAACGGAUUCGGCAAUUAUUCGGAUACGUGAUUUAUACGGAUAUUAUACGUUCACCAAUUAAAAAUUCGGGAUCAAAUAUAAUUUUUAAAAAUUCGGUAUUAUACUAUAUAUAUUAUUAUUAUAAUAUUUAUAUAUAUAUUAAAUAUAUUUAAAAUUAUAAUAAACAUAUACUAAUAAUAUAUAAGAGUUAUAUAUUUAAAAAUAUUAAUAAAUAAUUACAAAUUUAUANAUAAACAUAUACUAAUAAUAUAUAUGAGUUAUAUAUUUAAAAAUAUUAAUAAAUAAUUACAAAUUUAUAAAUAAAAUAUUAUAUAAUAAUAUUUAUAUAUAAAAAUAAAAUAAUAUAUGAAUAAAUAUUUAUAAAUAAAAUUAUAUAUAUAUAUAAUGAGAGGGAGGUCUACCGUGGACCUACCUCUCAUCCGGCUCGAUCUGGUGCGCAUGGACGCGUCGAGCUCCAGCAACCGAGCGGCCGAGCGAGCCCGGUCGUCGGUGAGCCCGUCCGGAAUGGCCCGGAAGUGGACUUUCGAGUUCGGGCUCAGGCUUAGUUCCGGCCCCGGAAGUGAGUUCCCGCUGGGGCUGCAGAGGAGGCGGCGGUCCUCUUACUCCCUCGGGCGAGACGGGAUCGUCGCUGCGGCACUCUUGCUCUCAGCGCCGGCCAAGGCUGCGCUGGAGGAGGAGGACGACGACGAGAGCGGCGGAGGAGGAGGACGACGAGAGCGACGAGAGGGGUGGUGUUGGAGGUGGAGGUGUGGAAGGUGGUGGUGGUCUGGGAGGAGAUGAGGCGAGGUGGAGGCGGCAGAGCCGGCGAGGUGGAGGCGGAGUAGCCGGCGAUCAAGUUGGGAGACAAAGAGGAUAACUUAAAGGAUUAGCAUAAUAAGGUAGGGAUAAAAUAUGUAUUUUAUAUAGGUUUUAACUCUAGUAUACAUUUAACCCAUAUUUAAUUCGAGUUAAGCUAACAGGGAAUAACUGCGGGGAUAUUUUGGAAUAACGGUGGAACAUAUGAAGGGCAUUUUAGAAAAGAAGAAAAGAAAUAAGAGUAGAUCGGAUAUUUCCAGACGCAUGAGGGGUAUAUAGGCAAUUAUCUUUCUUUUUUUUUCUUUUUUUCUUUUUUUUAAGAUAGCACACUAUCUGCUCUAUUCAUUAGUAAGAUAAUCUUAGCUAUAUCGGUGAGACAACUUAGCCUCUAACAAAACCAAAAAGAUGAUAAAGAGAAAAUUAGACCUCUGACAAAAAUCUCAUUCAACGAAAAGUUUUUCACCGCCUUAUCAAACUUUUAACUCUUUCAACAACCAGCCUGGAGUUAGUGUAGCAUAGUUUAAGAAUUACAUUAUAUUUUUCCUACCAAACCGCCCACUAAUUUGCUGUUAGCAUACUCAACCUCUUAGCUACGACGGGGAGGAGGGCUUUUUUUGAAAGUCCGUCCAAAAUUAUUCAAACUUCGAGAGACAACACCAACCGUCUCGCCAGUCGCCACCAUAGAGCACAUAUUGUAAAUCUCUUAACCAUUAUUUUUGUUAAUUUUAUCAAUAUACACUGUCUGAAAAUUAUAUUACAAAAAAUUAUAAAAUUUUAAAAUCUAGCAUUGUAACCACCCCAAUCUUAUUCAUUUACAAAACGUUAAUAUUUAAAAUUUAUAAUUUUAUAUAUGUGGAUGGUUUUUUUUUUUUUUUUACGAUUAAACUAUUUGAGAUACGUAGAUGCUUUGAAUACGUGAAAAAUUUUGAAACGUAUAGCAAAGUAGAAUUUUACAGAUGCAGGGCACGAGAUGUACUUGUAUACACCAUAAUACGGACAAUGAUUCCCCUUCCACCGAGGGGCUUUUAAUUAAUUCUUCGGCGUACUGCUCUGGAAACUUUUGGGGGUGUCAGAGGGCUUUUUGCAAAGUUCCGAGGAAUGUGCCAAGGUGACUUGAGCGCGUGAUCAGAUCCGUCCGAGUGGAAUCGAGCGGUCCAAAGGAAGCAGGAAAAAUGAAUUCUUUCGUGGCCCUUUUUUUUCACAUUUUUGUGGGGCCCACGUGUCCAGCUCACCAACAGCCGUCCAGGGGCAUUUAUGGACCACGGAAGUUUAGCUGGACAUGUCCUCCCCCCCUCCCCACAUGUGCACGAGAAAUUAUUCCGUGCACCCGGUCCGCCGUACACCGAACUCCUAAAUUAGCAGUUCAUAAUUGGUGUUAUUUAUAAUAUUUAAAAGGUCCGCUUGUCAAACAAACCAAAAAGUACAAAUUUUAAAAACUUACUUUCUCAUUAAUGGGAUUGUUAUAUUUGAAUUUUUGAACUCAGAGUAAUUUGUUAUGUAAAAGUUCCGUUGAAUAUAAUUGUUGAAUCGGUGAAGAGGUUUGAAUUUAUUUUUAAUAUCAUUUGAGAUUCGGAAGUAGAGAAAAAUUAAAAUAUAAACGCUACUUCAAACGCGCGGACUCGACGUGGCUUCUCACGUGCGAAAAAGCAUCCUAAACAAUUUGUAGAAUAAUUGAGUUUUUUUUAUCUCAAAUUGGGGUUGGAUUUCUCAUAUAUUUAUAGUACUUUGGUGGAAAUUUUGAGUAGGAAAAAAUAAUCAAUUUAAAAAAAUUGGGGAUAUGUCCAGCUCACCACUGUGACACAAAUUAAUUACUUCUGAUUUUAAUUUUAUUUUUAUUUUUGGAAAUGUUUAUAAAGCGGAGAAAUGUGGUCCGUUGGAUCUGCUGGCCCUGAAAAAUGACACUGGACCCCUCAGUGGUCCUGAUAAUUCAAUUAUUGUACACCGUUGGAUCAUUGAUGAUUAUUUUGUUUAUUGGUAUAAAAAAAAAAAGUAUAGAAUUUAUUUCAAUUAUUGUUCACUUUUGCUCUCACUAUUUAAUCUUUAAAAAUUCUAGUUUUAGUACAUAAUUUUUUUAUUUAUUUAAGCUGAAUCAGUUAAUAAUUCGUCAAGAGUAAAUUUAAAUAUAUAAUUUAUUUUUACAGGCUUAAUUAGUAUAUUUUAUAUAAUUCAUGAACUAUAAAUUUAUUAAAAUAGUUAAAUAGCUUAUAUUUCAUAUGCGAAGAACUAUCGAACCACUUAAAUCUAAUGAAUUUUAAGAUAGAAUACUAAAAUCAAAAUUUUAAAAUAUUGAAUGGUGAAAGCAAAAUAAUCUAGGUGUUGUUUGCAUCUUUAUUUUAACGUAGACCUACUAUUAAGUUAUGGAUUAUUUUUUUUAUAAAAAAAAGUAACACGUUAUCUACUUUGUUCAUAUUUUAAAAAUUAAUUCGGCUAAAAAAGUGAAGUUUUUAAAUUUAAAAUUUUAGAUACCAAUAAUUAGGUUUUAAUUCAACUGCACUAGAUAUGAUCGGUAAUGUCGGUAUAAUUUGUAGAUUAUCAAUUGAUGAGAUUUACUUGACGAGGAAGGAAAGGGACACUUGACAUAUAAUCAUGAGCUCAGCCUAUGAAAAAAUAAAACUUAUUGUGCACCUAUUGGGUGCUUAUUGGACGCAAUCCAUGUGUUACAACUUUUGGAUAUAGGUUGAUCACGCCGUCCUUAUCAAUAGCGAAAUGCAUUUAAUAAUAUAUAUAAUAUAUAAUAAAGAGUAAAUUUUUAAUAUUGUGAACUUCGACAUAACAUUAUAACUGGAAUAUAUAAAUUUUUUAUUUUAGGCUUCGUUUAGGAUUACGGAAAGAUUGCGUUACGUACGAUAAUAAAGUAUGUUGAAAAAAUACCCUGUUUAUUUUCGUACGUAAUAUUGUGUUCUGCAUAUUGCGAUGAGUCUGUUACGAUAUAUUUUCUGCAGUUCCAUCGGAGAACGUAGAAAUAUAUCCCUAUGUGCUUUUAUUCAAAAUUUAUUUUAUGUAAUAGCGUUAGACGGGUCUCAGUAGUCAGAAAAAAAUUAGAUAUUUUAUUAAAUUUAUUGAUAAUUUUAUAAAAAAUAAUAAUUUUAAUUAUUUUUUAGUAAAUAAAAUAAAAGUAAAAAUAGUUAACGAUUAAUGACCAAUAAACGCACACAUUUUAACAGAAAUAAUUUGGUAAAAACGUGAAAAGUUUACUUAAACUAUAGACUAUUUGAUUGGACUAUCUGAUCUUUUAAUAUUUUGAUUUUAAUACCCUAUUUUUCAAUUUAAGUAAUUCAAUAACUUUUUCAAAUAUAAAAUCUAAACUAAUUAUUUAUUUUAAUAAAUUCAUAAUUACAUAAUAUAUAUUAAGUAAACUCAUAAAGAUAAAUGACGAGUUUAAAGUUUGAAGUUAAAUGGAUACUAAUUGGCUCAAAUCAAAUUAAUUAAAAGGCUGGAUAGUAAAAUUAAAAUUUUUAAAGGUCAAAUAGUCAGAUCGAAAUGGAUGAUAAUUGAGAUAAAUUUUAUAAUUUUUUCUAAACAAUUUAACAAAAGUACCUAAAUAAUUCAAUCUCAAAAAGUUAACAAUUGAGAGCACCUUUUUUUUUUUUUUUUUUUGAGAGAGAUAGAUAGAUAGCGUGCUAUCCGCUUCGUUUAUUCAAAAGGAAAGGAAAUUAACCUUUACCUCAAUUGAAAUUACUCCACAAUUCAUAUAAUAGCAUACAAUAAUAAUUGAUAAAAGUGUAUAAAANUAAAAUCCCCAAUUUGACAGACUAAAAUAACUUUUUUUUCUUUUUUUUUUUUUGAGAGAUAGGUAGCACGCUACCCGCUUCGUUUAUUUUAUUUAGAAAUAAACUUAGCUGGAAAUGUGAAUCAACUAGGAUUCGAACUUGAAACCUCGGAUACCAACCAGCAAACUCUUUGCCACUUGCUCUAGGGAUGGUCGGUCCAAUUUGUUACUCUUGAACUUAAAAUUUUGAAUAUGUCAUUUCGUUUUACAGAUUUAGUUAGUAUAUUUUAUACAAUUCACAUAACUAUAAAUUUAUUAAAAUAAUCAAUGAACUUAAAUUUUGUACCCGCAAAGUAAAAUUUAAAAUUUAAGCGAUUAGAUAGUUGAAUUAACAUAGUUGAUAAUACAGAUAAUUAAGUUCUAUACAUUUAUACUUUAUUAAUAAUGUGGGUAAAAUUCGGGGAAAAGAAGAAGAAAAAAAAAAAAAAAUCGGGGCCAUGUGGAUUGCAUUUGGGUAAGAUUUGGAGAUGAGGCCUCUCAGCGGCGUUUAAUGAUUGGACGGUGGAGGAUCAUCAUACCGUAUAAUUUCUUAAUCUCCUAUAACCAAGAAUGGACGGUGGAGAUAACGUAAAGGCCCCGCGAAUUAACGUGGUGGACUCAGCUGUUUCGCUGUCGCCACGUGGCGGAUUGCUGGCCGCGUGAUCUGUGGUGGGGCCCGCGUCCGAGCUGGAUUUCACAGUGGCCUCCAAAAGUGUACGCCGACAUCGACCGUACAGUGGAUUGUUUCUUGGAUUUUUACGCCACGUGUCUACCUGCUAUUGGUGGAAUAGUUGCGGGCGCACGGAAAUGUCUGGUCGCAAGGUUCCACACUCAUAAUGUUAUCGCUCAAUUUUUCAUUUUGGUACAUUACUUUUUUUUAAAUUAUAUUAUAUUAUUAAGGUAGAAAUGUAUAGGACUUGUCUAAAUUAUAAAUCAUUUUGAGUCAUCUUAUAGGAUAUUUCAAAAUAUUGAUUUUAGGAUAAAUUACAAAAAUUUUUUUUGUUAAUACCCGUUUUUAUAUUUUUCCUCCUAUCAUUCAAAAACCUAUACUUUACCCCCCUAAAAAAUAAAAAAUAUUUACUUCAGCCCCGCCGUCAGUGUUCUGUUUAUAUCAUAUUUUUAAUAUCUAGAAUAUUCCUAAAACCCUCUUCUUCCUCCUUCCUCACCGACAUCCUCGAGCACACUGCCUCGCCCUACUCCGCCGUCUCACCCUCGCCUUCGCGCUCGUGCACUCCUCCGUCCGCUCCCAGACACAUGCACUCGCCCUCCUCCACCGCCUCAUCCUCACCCUUGCCCACCUCUCCCCCUAUACUCACCACGAUCUCCUCCCUACAGUCGUCGAAAUAGAGGGACGGCGAGGGUGCUAGAGGAGCAGGAGAACAAGUAGAGGAGACUGAGUCGGAGCUGGGGUAAGGGAGGCACGGGCGAGGGUGCGGGAUGAACAGGAUUGGGGAGAAGAUGAAGAAGAUGAAAGCAAUUUGAUCAUUUUAUCACAUCGUACCCUCUUGUGAAUAUAGUUUUUAUUUUUUAAGAGGGCAAAUUAUAAAUUUUUGAAUGACAGGAAAAAAAUGAAAAAAUGGAUAUUAACAUGGGAGUUUUCUAUAAUUUAUCCUUGAUUUUAUUAUCUAACAUUUCGAUCUGUUUGAUUUGAGUCAGUCAAUAAUAUUUUGACUUUAAAAUUUAAACUUGUUACUUAUUUUAAUAAAUUUAUUGUUGUGAGAAUUGUAUAAAACAUAUUAAUUAAAUUUUGAAAGAUAAAUAAGGGGUACAAAUGUUAAAGUCAAAAUGCCAUUUUGACUUAAAUCAAAGAAAUUGAAAGAUUAAAUAAUACAAUCAAAAUUUUGAAAUGUUAAAUAGCCAACUUAAAAUAUAUCAUAAUUCAAAUAAAUUCUGUACUUUUUUAUCUAUUAUUAAUUUUUAGAGUUAAUUUGCAUCUUCCUUUUACUUUGAUAUCUAUUAUUAAUUUUUAGAGUUAAUUUGUACCUUCCUUUUACUUUAAUAGCUAAUCUCUUCUCUUAUAUGGACAAAAAUUUCGUGGACAUCCGUGCCCAAACUAUUUGUUUGGGCACGGUGUGCGGCGCCCAUCACCACCGCCCUUUCCCCUUUCUCUCUUUCUUUCUAAAAAACGGAGGCCCCCGAUAUAUAUAUAUUUUUUUUUUUCGGACGAUCGCGAUGGGCGCUGCACACCACGCGGCGCCCAUCUGCAUCCGUGCCCAAACAAAUAGUUUGGGCAUGGAUGUACACGAAAUUUUUGUCCCUCUUAUAUGUAGGGGUGGAAACGAGCCGAGCUCGAGCGAGCUUAUGUCAGCUCAAAUUCGGCUUGAAAUUAAUUUCGAGCCUAAAUCUAGGCUCAAGCUCGGCUUAAAAUUAAUUCGGCGGCAUCGAGCGAGCCUAUUUCGAGUCGAGCGAGCUCGGAGCCUCUAAAACGAGCUCAUUGAAAUUCUCGACAUUAUAUAAAUAAUAGUUUAAUUUUUAUAGAAACAAAUUACUCUACAAUUUGAUGCAACAUGUCCAAUAGUUAAAUACAAAUAAUUAUAAGAAUGUGAGCUAGGGUACUUUGACUAGAUGAGGGGUUGAGAGAGAGAGAGAGAGAGUAGAGGAAAAAGUAGAGAUUUGAAAUUUGAAUGUUAUCAUGUUUUAGGGUUAUGUGCAAGUAAAAGUCUGAAAGAGAGAGUGUGUUAUGUAAUUUAGAGUUGGGCUCAAUUGCGGUUGUACUUGUUGGGUUUAUUUUAUGGGCAACAAUAAUGCCAAAUUAAAUUAAAAUAUUAAAUUAAAUUUAUAUAUAUAUAUAUAUAUAUAUAUAUAUAUUUAUAUAUAUAUUAUAAUAUAUAAUAUAUAUAUAUAUAUAUAUAUAUAUUAUAUAUAUUCGAGCUUUUUCGAGCUUUUCGAGCCUAAAUUCGACGAGCCGAGUAAUACUCAGCUCGGCUUGAAAUGCAUUUCGAGCUUUUAUUUUGUUCAAGCUCGCUCAUUUAAUUUCGAGUCGAGCUCGAGCGAGCCAAAUAUCGAGCCGAACACGAGUCGACGCGAGCGGCUCGCUCGUUUGCCAGCCCUAUUAUAUGAGCGUCAUCACGUCAAACUAAAUCUUUUUCAUCUUUAGUACCGUCCUCUAUCCCUACCACCGCCUCAAUCUCACACACGACAUCGACUAUUUCCUCAGAGCGUGCAGCAUCUUGGUAUCAAAUUGACGUACACUAAAGUUAUAUUAUUAAAGUUGAAAAGCAAAUAUCUAAUUGACUGACAAAUAUCCGACUAUUACAUAGUAACAUGUGAGUGAAUAAAAUUUUAUUGAGUUCGCAUAACCUAUUCUGUCAAAUUAACAAAAAUUUUGGUACGAUAUUUCGAGUCUAACUGCAAUAAAAUAUAAAAGUAGAGUCCUUACUACAAAAAAAAAAAAAAGAAAAAAAAGAAGGUAAGGAACCAAAGUAAAAUAAUGGGUAAAGGUGAGGGAGCAAUUAACACCCUUUUCGUAGUAAACAGUGAGCAUAGAUCAUGCUCAUUUUUGGGAGAGUAUCCCUAUCAACGUACGUAUAUAGUUUAGAAAUAAAUAAAAAUAAAUAAAUUAUGUGAUUCAAGGAUGAAUAUAGUUUAAAAGGCAAAUGGAAUUUAUAGCAUAGUCACAAAUUUCAUAUUCAGGUCAAAUUCGACAAGGUAAGCAAACUCAAAUUUCGCAAAAAUUUGACAAAUUAGAAAAAGAAUCGGCAAUAAUUCAGUUAAUAAACUUUAAAUAUAUAGCAAUGUAAAUAAACAAAAUGUGGAAUUCUUGUUCGAAUAUCAUAUCAUUCACAAUAUUUAAGAUAACAAAAGUCAAAAACAUAAUUAAUAAAUGAUUUGUAUAAAACAUUUGAAUUAGUUGAUUACGUUAGCCAUUGCUUUCUAUGACUUUCUAUGUAUAUUUUAUAGUGAAUAAUUCACAGAUAUAAUUGGGCAAUAAAAAAUUUGUAUUUUUGCAAAUGUUUGAAAAAGUAAAUAAUAUUGUGGCCAAGAGAUGAUAUUAGUAGUGAAUAAUUCCUUUUUUUCUGGUAAAAAUGUAUCAAACUUGGAUGGCCCAUUUUGAUCUACCUACCAACUUCAAAUUUUGAAUUCACCAUUUAUUUUUUUUGGAUCUAAUUAUUGUAUUUCAUAUAAUUUAUGCAACUAUUAUUCCAGUAAAGUAAAUAAGGAGCCUAAAAUUUGUACUGGAAAAGCCAUUAAAUAACUUAUAACAGAUAAACUGAAAGAUUGGGUUACCAAAAUCAAACUUUCCAAAGGUUAGGGAGCUAAAUUAAAAUGGACCGUAGUUCAGGUGAAUUCUAAGAGAAAGCCUCUAAUUGGGCUUGAAAGAAGAGCAGAACUAAGUUUAGACAGCUUUAACUUCUUCAGCAGAUAUUAACAGCUUUAUGCACUCCAUAACCCACUUCCAAGUCUUACAAGUUACAACCAAUGUCAACCAUCCUUACAUUGAAAAAAGAAUAAAAAUUGCACGAAAAACAGUGAAAAACCUGUAUGAUUAUCAUGAGUAUGUAUAAAAAAUGAGCGGAUAACUUACAAACAGUAAGAUCAAGAAUGCACACAAUUUUACAUACAACAAAACAAAGCCAAUCACACAAUCUCAUUGCGGGGCCGGAGAGCCUGUCUCCAUGGACAGAGUCUGUGAGAGAUGCUCAUGCGGAGAUUUAGGGCUCGAGGAGCCAACCAGUGCUGCUGAGGGAGAGCGCGGACUAGAUAGAGCGGGAGAGGGCACUUCAUUCUGUGAAUGAGAUUGCGAUAAGGGUAGCAUCUCAUCUGCGUAGACAUCAGCAGCAUCUUCUUCAAUGCCGUCGUCCAAGUCGACGCCAUCUCCCAUACUUGUGAGCUGAUGGAAUUCCACAAUUUCUCGAAGGAAACGGUUUUCUCGGGCAUAUAUGGAGUUCUCAUGCGCCAACCUUGCCUUUUCGGCUAACAGUGACUCCAACUGAAGGCGUAUCUGUUUAGAGAGGGGGAAAGAUAUAUCAAUUAUAUUAUUAACAAAGAGAUCAAAUUACAUGGAAACAGAUCACAUCUUUAGACUUCCAUAGUUGUCCUCGACCUCUCUCUCCCCCGCCGCCCCACCCCCCCCGGGAGACUAUUCAAAUGCCUAAUGAACUUCCGAGGUUGCAGCAUUCUGCUUGAGCUUAAAUUACAACGAACAACAUAGCAGUUGAUCAUAUUGGUGCCGGUACAAGAACCACUCCGAGCGCGUCUCUUUUAUCUGGUUUUGUUUUGAUAAAAAAUUUGGCACCACUAUUAGAAUGGUGUCAAGUUAACAAACAAUCAUAAAAACUUGUCAAUUUGUUGUUUAGAGCUUUCUAAUCUUUGAGUUCUGUUCUGGGCAACUAAUAAUAGAUUGGAGCAGUCCCAUAUAACAAUUAAGAUUAUAAUUAGAUAAUGAUGAUGUAACGAAACCAACAAAAGCAAUAAUAUUAACACCGGCAACAGUAAUAAUCAUAAAUAAAAGAUCCAACGGGAGCUAGCAUACCAAGUCAUCAUCUUCAUUGUGAUCUCCUUUUUCACGACUCUCGCGCAAUAUUUUGUUCUCCUCUUCCAGCUGAGCGCAUCGUUCUUUUGCAAAAGCUAGGUCUGCUUUGACAGCUUUUAGUUCACGCAGUAAAAGUUUUGCUUUAGCAGCCAUUGCAUUUGCAACCUGCAAUAACACAUACAGAAGAGGCUAUUCUCCAUUCACAAAAGGAAAAAAAAAAAACCAAAGAGGUAGAGAAGCACUCUUUUGGUAGAAUAAGGCUACGAACUUUUGAAACCAAACAUACCGUUAUAGAAUCUUAAGCAGCUAAGUGAAAAAGGCAAGUCUGUAAAACAAAAGAGAAAGCUCACAAAACAACUAGUGUAGACCACUAUCUCUUAGAAGUUAAUUACAUGACCCCGAGGAAUAUACAUCAUUUUUCUAACAGCAAGAAUUUGUAAGCAUGUUGUUGAAAAGGUAAUUUUCAUAGAAAAGAAUGCAGAAUGCAGUUCUUCAGAUUUUUUUGGAAUUCGGACAUUUUGGGUUAAUAAAAAGUUACUUUAUUUUUAAAAAGGUUUAACACGUCAUACUUAACUUUAAGCAGUGGAGCAUAUGCAACUUUAAUGUGUGAAGCACUCAAGCAGAUUCUAAUCUCUCCUGAUUAAAUUUUGGAUCAAAAACCAAUCUAUAAAAACAGAACAAUAUAUUCAAAGACUAGUUUCUAUAUAAUCCAGCGACACAGGGUUGCCACCUUACGUUGCGAGAAGCUUUAAGUUGGGUUUCCUGAUUGGUUUCACUCUGGGAGAGAUUUGCUGGUCCCAAUACAUCUUUAAACUGAUUCUGUAAAUUGGAACUGCUAUCCUUUCUUCUAAUUUGCAGCUUCUUUGUUUCAUGGAUGAUGUCAACUGUUUUAUUCUCGAUGAUUGUUCGACUCUCCUGAGAGAAAUGAGCAAAGAAAGAUUACUUAAAGUACGAACAAACAAUAGAUAUUAAAGCCUAAAUUUAAAAGCAUAAUGAAGAGGGAAGAAGAUAGGAGAAUAAUGAAACAACUCAAAAAGCUCUGAUGAACUUACUUCCAAAGCAUUUCUGAGUUUUCCGCCAAUGUAGUUGACUGAAGAAGCAAUCGCUUCUGAACCUUUCUGAAAUGAAGGAUUUUCUGGCUUCAGAUAAUUUUCCGCUGCCCAACGAGACUGCGGCCAGAAAGAUUGAAGUGACAAAUGAAAAAACCAAUAUCAAUUGCAUUACACAGUAAGAAUGCAAGAUAAGAACCAAAUGAAUAGACAAAAUGAAGCAAUUAAAAACAUCCAAGGCCUACUAUUAUGACUUUAAAGGGUUAACUGGCAGAUGCAAAGGGAUCUAUGAAGCAUACAAUAGAACGUUCUAGACUACAGAAUAAUAGCUUAAAAAGAAGUGGGUUUCCAUAAAUAGGCCUUCACCCUAGAAACUGGAAGAAAACUUCAAAUCCACUAUUAGCUUCUAAAAGAAAAUCGUUAUUUAAAUUGUUUGAGGAAAAAAAAGAAAAGAAACUUCAGUUGUGUCUCACCUUGGUACCUGUUGAUGAGUCUAACUUCGGAGGCUGCACUCUACCGUAGUCAUCAGAUUUAUUGGAAGCACCAUCCUCAAUAAUUGAUUUCGCUUUUCUUGCCAAGUCCCCCCAGAACCCAUGCUUACGCUCAUUCAAGCUUUUCAUCGACGUGUACUCAUAAUUACUGGCAUCCUGCAUUUGUAAACACAUGGAGAAAUGAUAGCGUGCGAACUCAGCCAAAUAAUUUUCAAAAUGCAAGAUAAGUGGAACAAUCAGGCGACAUGUAGACAUGCAUCUUCACAACCAUUUCGAUAGCUUUCUUAGUGGAAAGCAUCUAAUCAGGCAUGCUUAGGUAUCUUAGAUGAUAAAUAUCCUUAAAACUCUGAUUUGAGAUUCAUGUAAAUUCAAACUAAAGCGCUUUACAUAACUGAAUUGCAGUACACAUUUAGAAGGUCCAUUUCAUAGAAGUUGUAAAAGAUACGCAGAGAAAUUAUGCUACGAUAGAAUCCUCGCUCUCUGUGAUCAUCAGAUUCAUAAUGAAUGCAUUAAUAAUAAUAAAAAACCAGACACAGCUUGUUCUUCUAGCGAACCAAUUAACAAAUUGCUUUAACUCUCGACCAAAUCGAAACACCCCGCAUCAACAGGUAUCCACCGUGGUUUUCAAAAUUCCCAUUUAGGGCACUCUAAUCCCAAUUGCAAAUACCUAUCGAUACAGAUACGAAACCCUAAACAAGGAGGGGACACCGAUCAUCCCGAUCCGAUUAUUAAUACCGAUUGACACCGCUGUGAAACCCUAAACAAGGAGACACCGAACGAUGCCGAAUCCGAUCGAAAAGAGAGAGAGAAAGAGAGGCGAGGCGAUCGAUCGCACCUGCGAAUGCCUCGGCCGCGCGGGGGCGGCGGCAAGGGCAGAGUCGGCGUAGGCGGAGGAGAGGGAGGCGUCGCGGCGCGCGGCGGAGGAGCGGAUCGCCUGGGCGGCGAGCGACGGCGACGCCGGGGCGGCGACGGCGGCGGAGGAGUCGUCGGCGCCGGAGAAGGAGCGGCGGUCCUCGACGAAUGUGGCGGAGCGGGUGAUCCCUUGCUUGCGCCGAUACGCCAUGGGGGAGGAGGGACGGGGGAGAGAAGGGGGAAAGGGGUGUAACCGUUGGACUCGUUAGGGCUUCGCGGUUCAACUAACGAACCAAAUUGCCCUCUCUCCUUGUCCGUUAUUUGGGCCGUGGACGCCGCGGCGAAUUGUUGCGUGCACCGCGGUCUAUGGACCAGGCUCUCCAUUAAUUCAAAACCUGGUUGUCUCACAAAUCUAAAUAGACUCUGUUCGGAAUUGCAAAAAAAUGCAUUAUUUGUGAUGAUAAAGUGAGAAAAAAAAUAUAUAUAUAUUUUUUUGUUAAAGGACAUUACACUGCCUAAAUUUGUAUCUUCUAAGAAGGCUUACGAGAUAAGAGAUCUCAUCAGUAACUCAAAAAAAAGAAAAGGGAGAGCGUUCAAUGUAUUAUAUAUGAAUAGAAAAGUGAUUUAUAUUUGAAUUUAAAAAUAUUCUUAUCACUUUUUUUUUUUAUAAAUAUUUGCACAAAUUCACUUUUGCUUUCUUCGUCUUCUAAUGACAACAGUUACUAGUUCGACAUUUAAUUCAAAAUAAAAUCAAAAAUUUUUCCUACUAAAAGGAAUAAUCUUUUGCUACAGUUGAAAGCAAAAAUUAUAAAUAUCAGUUACAUAUAGUGCUUUUUGAAAAUAUUUUUAAAUCUUCUAUAAUAUUAUUUUUGUAUAUUGUUAAUGUGUUGGCAUAUAUAAUAUAUAGUCAUUUGAUUGAUUCAUAUGUAUACUUCGAAAAUAUCAUAUGAAUUAUCAUUAUAUUAAUAAUACAAAAGUAAUAUUAUGGGCGACCUAUAGCAAUACUCGAUACUUUUUUAAUUGUAUAAUAUCAUAUAAAAUAUGAUCGAAGAUGCCCUAAGCGACAAGAGUUUAAGUGUUCAGCGACACGAGGCAUGCUUACCAUCUUGUAUCGUGCCGAUGAAAUAUUGGCACAAUACAACUCUUGUGCCAAAUAGCAUGAUUCAAUAUUAUCUUUUCUUACAAAUAAAAAAUAAUUAUUCCAAUAAAAUAUAAAAAAUUUAAUAAAGAUAAAUAAUGGAAAAUUAAACAAUUUUAGUGCUAAAGGAAAAUAAAUAUUUUAUUUUAUACUAUGUUAACGCAUAGGUAUUUUUCUAACUUGCACAUAUCUGCACAGUAUAUCAUAGAACGUGUCGUAUCGUGUUAAUAAAUUCUCAGCAUUAUUUUGUGUCACUAUAUUUAAAUUCUUGCUAAAGCACUCUAAUAAAUUUGCGUUUGCUGUGGUCUAUACACCACGGUUGAUGCAACGGUUUCACUGGAGAUCGCCCAAGUGGGGGACCCAUCUCCACUGACCUUGUCCUUCGCUUUUGAUGCCAGGGACAGAUCAGAGCCGUUAGUUUACAUCAGUGCAUGAGUUGGAUCACGUCCACUAUGACAGCUGGACACGUGUCAAAUUGGGCCCCACUGGUCGGGCCCAAGAAUACUAAUUUCAGAUUAAGCUGGAAUUCGCCACACUUUUGCUUCUACUUUCAACAGUAAUUUUUGUCAGAAAAAAUAAAAUAAAAUUUUCGUUGCUUCGUAAAGCAGAAAUAAAAUAGUAGUCGGAGAUAUAAUAGUGCUCACAUUAUGCUUUAACAAAAGGGCUAAAUUAUAUUCUAUAAUUGAUCUCACAUAAAUCCGCGUAUGAAUUGUUUUAUAUUAGAUAAUUGAUAAGAGAGUGCAGCGUUAAUGAUAAGCUGUAGGAGCGUGGAAUAAUUCAUGGAUUUUAUGUUUUGUUUUUAUUUUUUAUUUUUUAGGAUGUGUUUCUUUAAUUCUUUUUCUUCUCUAAGGGGCUCUACUAUCUUAAUUUUGAUGCCCAACUCAUUUACUUUAUAAAUGAAAUAAUUAGGACGCUACAUUUUUCUCUCAAAAAAAAAAAAAAAAAAUUGAUGCACAUGCACGUACUGUUCUCUUAGUCCAAUCAGGCUGGGCCUAAGCUAAUAGAAGAUGGGCUUAAAGCCCAAAGAAGAAGAAGGGCCAACAACAUCAAAGUAAAAGGUCGAUCAUCUUUAGAUGUCAGAAUAAGUUAGACAGUGAUAGCAUUUUGAUAUAAGAAUUUUUUAUUACGAUUAAACUCAAUUGUAAAAGAACGUAAAAUAAAACUCUCGCUCGUGUCCAGACUCAGAGUCAUUUUAAUGGACUAAAGACGUGGAUGUUAUUUAAUAGGAGGAAAUUAAAUGAGACGAUAGGUUUGGUAGGAUUUAAACUCAUGAUUGGUAUCACCUGCGCUGAUACCAUGUAAAAUAUUAUGAAACAAUCUGUGUUGGAGAGGGAGAUGGGUAUGAACAAAAUUAGUAUUCAAUCACGAGAGUGGGUGAAAAUAUAUACAAAUAGAAAUUUAGCUGAUGAAUAAAAUUUUACCUAUUUAAAAUUUUAAUAAAAAAAUUAUUGAUUAAAUAGUCAAUAUAAAAUAUAGUAUCUUUAUUUUUUGAUUUAUAUUCACUUUAACUGAGAAUGAUUUUAUUGGUAUUAGUCCAUUCAGAUAAGUGAAAUGACUUUCCUAAUUUUACUAAAUCUAACAGUAAUUCAAUUAGUGAUAUAAUUUUUAAAUUUUAAGUAAAUAAAAUUAUACAUUACGUGCUGACGUAAAGUAUUAAUUGACAAUAUUUUUAAAUAUUAUUAUAUUAUAUGUAAUUAAAAAUAUAUCCAAAAUACAAAUUUUGAGCGAACUAAAUGUAUAUUUCUAAUUAAUUAUUGUAAUUUAAAAUAAAGAGAAACCCAGCGUCCGAUUCCUGACAAAUCGGGUCAAUUCACUGAUCAGAAUGGAUCAAAGCGAGUUUUAAAUCAAUUCGGUUGGCUAGAUCUAAAAGGGUUGAUUUUACCUGAAUAUUUGACUACAUCAGAUAAAAGUUGUACUGUAAAAUUCAACUAAUAAGUACAAUUUGGUACUCGAGUCCCAUGUUCGAAUCAUAAUUGAUUCAUAUCAUAUUUUCAGUUAAAUUUUUUUUUUUUUUAAAAAAAAUCAACUAAUAAAUGGCUGACAAGGGACGUGUCUUUGCAGUAAAGCUUAUUUCAUGUGCACAUGACAUUGAACGUACAACUAAUACCCGAGUUUACUAACUUCGCACCACUGACCAGGUUUAAUUUCUUCAAUGCUCUUUUCAAAAUUUCGAAUUUAAAAUCUCAAAUAUCAAUCGUUAAAUUUUUAACUAAUUAUAUUAGAUACAAUUAGUAAAUUAUAGUCAUGUUUUUAAAAUAAAUUUUUUACAAAUUAGUGUAGAAGCUGACAUGAUAUAUAUAAAUUUUUUAUUUAUAAAAACAAAAAAAAAUUAACAAUAUCAAAGGAGCUAGGCCUUAAAAUUGCUGUAAUUUAAUUCUUUAUAUAUGUAUAUAUAUAUCUUACUUAUUCAGAGGGAUAAAUUNAUAUAUCUUUCUUAUUCAGAGGGAUAAAUUAAACACAGCUAGCUAGCUGCGAUAAUGCAAGAAUAUUUUGAGGGCGAGCAUUUCGGGAAAGCUACUGGUGAUUCAGCAGGAGUGUUUCCAGAAGCCAAAGUGGAGGUUUCUUUGACCAGCCCCACCACCACCACUACCACCACCACCACACAAGAAGCAGAUCUGAGGUGGCUCUUUAAAUUUUCAGUGAAGUGAUUCCCAGGAAAGCCCAAAACUGAGGGUCUCUCUAACUGUUACUGCUACAGUAGAUCUGCUACAGUGAGCUCCUGCUGUACUCUCCCUCAUGGGACCUGCCCCUCCACUAACCUCCUGCUGUUCAUCAUUCAACCCCACCCUAUCCAAAGGCAUUGAAUACUGUGUACUAAUGCUACGCUUAUUUUUUGAAUGUACCAAGAAAAGUAUUUAAAUAACAUGGAGUUGAGCGGGAAUGCCAUCGAUAGCAAACGGAUUCUGUUGCUGUCUAUUUAUUUUUGAUGAUCCAGUCUGCAAAUCGACGAUCAGUACCGUUGAACAUGAUCCAUACCACUUAAAGUAUCUAGAAACCAAAUUUCGAAUCUUUUCGACAUCAUUGACCUAAUUAUUAAAGGAUUUCAAACAAUUUGAAUUUAAACAGUCAAUAUGAGAUGUUUUUCGUUUAACGACAUAAAAAUAUUCAAAUCAGCAAAAUUUUGGUUAGAAAAUUUUUGGAUAAAUUGCAUUGUUACCCCCUUAACUUUUGGUGAAGUUUCACUUUACCCCUCGAAUUUCUAAAAUGGACUUCUAACCUCCUAAAUUAUAAUAUUUCGUUCAUAUUACCCCUUUCGUCAGUUUUCCGUCAAGCUCCGUUAACCGGAAACUGACGGAAGGGGUAAAACGAAUGAAAUAUUAGAGUUUAAGGUGCUAGAUGUCUAUUUUAGGAGUCUGGGGGGUUAAGUGAAACUCGCCAAAAGUUCAGGGGGUAACAAUACAAUUUACCCAAAUUUUUACUAUAAAUUAUUUUUAUAUUUUUAUAUUAAAAAUUUCUAAUUGGCUGAAAUGAAGUACAAAAAUUUUAUUUAUGUGUAUUUUAUAGAACAAUACUUCUAAAGAUAAAAGAGACAAAUGAGUACUACAGAAAAUUAACUGAGAAUUAAAAUUUCUAUAUCCGAGUGAGGACACCUAUUGUAAAUCAACCAUAUUAGCGAGUACGUUGGGAUAGUAGAGUGUUUGAAUAUCGUAGGUAGUUAGUAUCACUCUUUUUUUAUCUUUAAGCCACUCUAAUUCAUUUCUUUCACUUUUAUUUUAUUACAAUAAAAUGUAGAAUAAAUUAUGGUAUGAUUUAUUUUAGGAUAAAAAAUAUAUAUAAAUUCAAAAUCAAGCAUGAUCACUAACUUGAGAAUUAGUAGUCAAUCCAUAAGAAACAUAUUAUAAUAAAAUAAUUUAUAGUCAAGAGUCCCUUACGGAGUAAAUUGCACUACUACCUCCUGAACUUUUGGCGAGUUUCACUUAACCCCCCAAACUCCUAAAAUAGACAUCUAACACACUAAACUUUAAUUUUUCAUUCGUUUUACCCCUUCCGUCAGUUUCCGGUUAACGGAGCUUGACGGAAAACUGACGGAAGGGGUAACAUGAACGAAAUAUUAGAGUUUAGGGAGUUAGAUGUCUAUUUUACGAGUUCGAGGGGUAAAGUGAAACUUCGCCAAAAGUUCAGGGGGUAACAAUGUAAUUUACCCGAAAAUUUUUUAACCUUUUUAAAAUAAGAUCUAUACUCUUGAUCUUGAUUACAAAACCCCUAUUAUCACUUUUUAAAGGAUAUUCAUUUUCAACUGUUUAUUUUUGUGUCUACUUGAUGGAUAAGAGAAUAAUAUUGGAAAAGCAUGAAAUUUGAUUUCUAGAUACUUCGAGCGGUAUAGAUCAUAUUCAACGAUGCCGAUCGUCGAUUUGAAGGUUCAAUCAUCGAAAAUAAAUGGGUGGUAACAAAAACCGUUUGCUACCGAUAGUAUUCUAGCUCAACACUAUAUAUAUAUAUAGAGCAGGGCUACUGUGCUAUUAGGAACACAGCAGCCCUUGUACUCCUAACUUUCUAACUACCCAUCAAGUUUGAUGGGUGGUUAGAAUGAGAGAGAGAGAGGAGAUAUUAAAGAGAAAUUCAAGGAGAAGAGAAACUGAGACACUCAAUUUCUCCCCAAUAUCUCCUCCCUCUCUUAUUCUAACCGCCCAUCAAACUUGAUGGGUGGUUAGAAAGUUAGGAGCACAAGGGGUACUGUGCUCCUAAUAGCACAGUAGCUCUACUCUAUAUAUAUAUAUAUAUAUAUAUAUAUAUAUAUUCCUAUUUUUAACAUUUUUAAGUUACUUGGGCUUGUGCUAUGAUCUUCUUGUUUUCAGUGUAUUAUACGGCGAAAAGUAAAAUUGCAUCAUGGGAGAAUGGCGGUUUGUUUAUUUUUUAAAAAAAAUAAAUUUAGCUGAAAAAUAUGAAGUAAUUAAAUUUAAAAUUUAAAAUUUUGAGUGCCAAUCAUAAUCUUUUAUCAUUUGCUUUAGGAAGUUAGAGUUGUUGCUCACAUUAUUUUGAGGAAGAGUUCAAUUUUCCUAGGUUAAUGCAACAUGCAUGCUAUUUCAUAAGAUUAGGACUUAUUUAUGUUUAUCUUUGGGUAUAAUACUGUUUGAUAAAAUAUUAUUUAAAUAGUAUUAUUAGAAUUUUAUCUAUUUGACAAUAUAUAAGUAUAUUUCCAAUAUUUUGUAACAGUGGCAAAAUUAAAAACACUGAAUUUGAGUUUCUGCGUUUGCAUUAAUUCCAAGAAGUAAAAAAAAAGAAAAUUUGAAUCUCUACAUCGUGGGGACCACAUAAUAUAUUGAAGAGAAAAUUUAAUUUUACGAUAAACUUUAGAUUAUUCAACUUAGAAAAAAAAUAAUAGCUAUUGAUUAUAGAAAUAAAUAAAAUAUAAAAUCAAUAUUAAUGAUAAUAAUAAAUAAUUAAAAAAUGCUUUGGAUACUCUCUAUUUUCACUGAUGAGUUAAUCAUGUAAUAUCACCUAGUUAAUUUGUGUGUUACAUAUCAAUAUGUCAGUACAUAUCUAUAACUUAUAAUAAUUUAUUUUGAUAUGUAAUAAUAAUUGAAACAACUUAAAGAUUAUAUGUGGAACAACAAAAUCUAAAAGGUUGAUUGAAACAAUAAUAAAAAUGUUAUCUCAAUUANUCUCUCUCUCUCUCUCUCUCUCUCUCUCUCUCUCUCUCUCUCUCUCUCUCUCUAUAUAUAUAUAUAUAUAUAUAUAUAUAUAUAUAUAUAUAUAUAUAAAAUUGAGUUAUGCUUCUAGAAGUAUCAAACUCUUGAUGUUUAUAAUUUUUUAGCCUUGAAUCUAUCAUUUUCAUUAUUAGAUCAAAAGUCACUAAUAGCGGUCGCUUGUGACACCCACCAUUGUGCGUUAUUUAAGAAACUCUAGAGUCGAUCCAAUGGCCAAUGAACUACAGUACCAACACAUUGAUUAUUCUCAAAGCAUCUUAAUAAAUAGUUAUAUAGUGCAUGUGCGAUGCAUGUUACAGUUAUUUUAUCGAGCGUAUUGAAUUUUUUGGAAAAAGAUAAAUUCAUCCUAUAUAUUUGUUAUUUCAAUUUAGAAAUUCGCUUUGUACAAAUAAUAUGGUUGAAUCUUUUGGGAUAAAAUAAUUCUAGGACUGCAUUAUUUUUAAAAUCAGCUUCUCUUCCUCUUUUUUUUUUUGGAUAUGAAUUGGUGGGAGGGAGAUUUGAGGGCGUUGCAAAUUUAUUUUCCAUUAAAAAUCGUACACCGGGUGUAGUAUAUAUUAUGAAGGGGUAGGGGUGUGGACCAGGGUGGACCGUCGGAAAGAGAAUAUUUCAUGAUCCCCUUUGCGGAUUCCGUCUAUGUUGAUUAAAUUUUAAAAUACUUAUUUAUAUAGAGAUGAGCUGGAAUGCUAUUAAUAGUAUUUAAAUUUUUUUACUAUUAAUUUUUUAGUCGUUAGAUUUAUAUUUUAAUUAAUUUCGCCAUUUAGAUCAUAGGAUUUAACCAACUGCCCACUCAACUUUAGAGGGAUCACCAUUAAAUCUUAGGAAACCACUAUCAUGCUAACUCUAUAAUUUUUCGUAAGUAAAAACUCAAUAGCAAAAUAGUCUAAACACUAUUAAUAAUAUUCCAGCCAAAUAAUUCCAUUUAUAUAUAUAUCUACAGAUAAUCUAGAAGUAUAUUACUUUUACUUUCUAGGCCCUUUGAUGUCUGACUAUUGGAUGAUUGGAUAGUAUAGACACAAGAACCCAAAAAAUAGAGAAAACUUUAAAAAACCCCCAUGUGGUUUCGUACUUUUUUAUUUUAGUAUUCUGUAGUUUAAAAUUUAUCAAGUUAGUAUCCUGUGGUUUCUCACUUUAUCACUUUAGUAUCCAGUGGUCUAAACUGUAUCAAGUUAGUAUCCUGUGAUUUUAUUUUUGUAUCAAGUCCAUAGGAUACUAAAGUGAUAAAGUGCGAAACCACUGGAUACUAAAGUGAUAAAGUGUGAAACCAUAUGGUACUAACUUGAUACACUUUAAACCAGCAGAUACUAAAGUGAUAAAGUGAAAAACCGCAGGGUACUAAUAUGAUACACUUUAAACUACAGGGUAUUAAACUGAAAAAAAAUGAAACCUCGGGAGGGUUUUUGAAGUUUUUCCUAAAAAAUAUAAGCAACUGCUUCUAAAAUUAUUCUAGCUCACUUAGGGUGAAAGUGGUUAGGAUAAAUUCCAAUCGGAUUUGAUAGGAUGCAAAUACACAUAUUCUUAUCUAAAUUUGCAUGAAAAAAAACAAGCGAACAUGGUUUCUAGAAAAUCUUACAGUUUUCAACUGUUUUCGCCCCUAAACAAUAAGAGAGAUAUAAAUAUAAAUAUAUAUAUAGUAUUAAUACUAUAUAUAAUAUAUGAAUUUUACUAUUUUUUGUUUGUUAAUUUUACUAUAAAUUUCACACUAAAAUUAUAUUUAUAUUUAUUAACAUAUUAAACUUUAUGUAUAAAAUAUAGGUACAUAAAAUUUGAAAACGAGUAUGAACCUUUAAUUGCAUUGUGUCUUAUCCGAACCAAUUUUAAUUUAUAUUUAUAUAUGUAUAUUAGUAAUACUGUAUAAUAUCUGAAUACAAAUCUAACUCACAAAGACGAAUGCAGAAAUUAAGAUUCGGGAAGGCCAAGAUUUAGAUGUGAUAGUAAAAAAAUCAACCUUGAAUAGUAAGAAAGAGAGUUUGUCGGAUUCGCUGGUCAUCUAUUGUUAGUAAUAGUAGUGACAAUAUGCUGAAGGAAGAAAAAAAUUAUGAGAACCUAGGGAAAGAACCAAGAGGUUCAAACAAAAAUUGAAUUUUUUUUUUAAAAAGAGUCGAUUUACCCCCUCCCUCGGUAAAACUAAAUUUUAUAAUGUUUUAAUUUUUUCUAUAAAAAAUUUAUAUGUAAUUUCUAGAAGUUGAGGGGGAUCAUGGUCACUGUGAACCUCACAAUGGCUCUGUCCUUGCCGAUUCAUAUCUAAAUUCAAAUAUAUUCUAAGCGGAUAUGGUAACGAAAAUUUAACAUUCAAUAUAUAUUUCGAUCUGAAUUCGCAUUUUCAAAGAAAUAUGAAUGCGAAUAUGAUUUUAUUACAAAUCUGACCAUUUUCACCCCUAAGUUCUCAGCCCUAGGCAUAGCCAAUAAAUUAGCUUCAUAAUUACUCAUGACAGUCUGCGAAUUACUUUCUGAGAGAUAAUUGGUUCUAAAAUAUUGAAAAAAAAACAUAGUUGGGACAGAAAGUUUAUGUCAUUGUGCUUCUCCUUUAAUUACUGCAUGCAGCUAGCCUAGUGGUUGCAAACUGCAAUCCACAGUAUGUAGUUUACAAAAUUAAAUAAGCACUAUAUAUAUAUUUCUUAUUUUUAUUCUAUCUAACGCAAUGCGUUCUUACCGUCUUAUCAAGUGUUAUUUGAAUAAUGCUUACAUUAAAAUCUUUCUUAAUAAAUUCUCUUUAACUCUUUUGAGUAUUAAAACUUCGUUUUUACUUUUUCGAUAUAGCAGAAAUCAAAAAGUAAAAAACUAGGCAAAAAUUGAUCAUAGUUUUGAAUUUUAGAACAAUUAACGUAUGGAGUUCACAAAAGCUGAGCCACUCAUGUAAACAUAUAAUUCAUCACUUGUAUUUGGAUAUCGGCAGCAACAACAUGACCCAAAAGAACCUGAGCAAACAAAAUAUUCAGCCACCAAUUUAUGUAUGAUUAUUUUAUUCGGUAUUUUUUUAUGAUUUAUUUGAAAAUUUUAUAUAUUUGAUAGAUAAGAAGUAGUAUGAUCAAAAUUUAGAAUAGGAUGUUUUAUUCGACAUUCAAACUAUUUUUUGAUAAAAUAAAUCACUUCAUAGAUGAGAUAUACUAUCACAUCAAAUCAUAGAUAUUAAAAUCUUUCAAGAGUAAAAGUUAAACUUCUUUCUUGCAAUCACAUUAUAAAAAUAAGUUAUUAUUGAAUAACUUGACACCACAAAUAUAACACGAGCAAAACACCAUUUAGUUCUCCUAAACACAGUUUGAAGUUUCUAUUACAAAUUAACAUCUAAUUAACUAAACAAUCGUCGAAGCUUUCUUAUGGAAGUACGAAACCGUCUCAGGCUCUUUCGGACAUUCGAAGCUUUUUGAAAUUGUGGUCCGAAUACUGUCGCUAGUUGCACCACUCGUUGAUUUCAAUUGUGCGCCUUUUUUUUCCUUCAUUAUUUCUUUCUUUUCCUCCUUUGUCCCCUCGGCUCUUUGUUACUCUAUCUUACUCUCCUAUUUUUAAUCCCUAUUUUUUUUCUCUCUCUCUCUCUCCAGUUGCUGCUGUGUUAUAUAAAGCUAGCUAAUUAAGUUUAUAUAUUUUUAUAAUAAUAAAGUGAGUAGGUAGCUCUCUUUUUCUCUUCGAUAAAAAAAAAAUAAAACGUCUAAUCUACAAAUAGGAGUUGCACCAUCACUCCAAGCGCAAAAGACAAAGAGAUUAAUAGACAGAAUUUGACAUCUCAAGUUCGAAAACUAGUUAUUUCAUAUUUUUAAGAUAAUUUUAUUUUUAUAUAAAAAUAAAUAAAUAAAACAGAUAGUAUAUUAUCUUUUCGUCAAAACACGAGCUUUGGGCGGAGGAGAAUCGCGGCACUUAGAUUUUGGGGUACCUUCUGCUGUGCCCGUAGCAGCACUAUUGAAAAGUUAAGGCAGUCAAAGUUUCACGGGCGCAUAUAGAGAGAGAGAGAGGGAGAGAGAGAGAGAGAGAGAGAGAAAAGGGGGAGGUGUGGGGGCAAGUGUGUGUGCAGCACCACCUACCUCUUCUUGAAGAAAUGUAUUGAAUUGAAUGCUCUUCUCCCCCACCUCCCUCGGAUCUCCAUGUUUGGAGGCACUCCCCCGACAGUUUUUCUGCUAGAUCUGCUGCAAAGAUUNUCUCUUUUUCUCUUCGAUAAAAAAAAAAUAAAACGUCUAAUCUACAAAUAGGAGUUGCACCAUCACUCCAAGCGCAAAAGACAAAGAGAUUAAUAGACAGAAUUUGACAUCUCAAGUUCGAAAACUAGUUAUUUUAUAUUUUUAGAUAAUUUUAAUUUUAUAUAAAAAUAAACAGAAUUUGACAUCUCAAGUUCGAAAAUUAGUUAUUUUAUAUUUUUAAGAUAAUUUUAGUUUUAUAUAAAAAUAAAUAAAUGAAACAAAUAGCAUAUUAUUUUUUGGUCGAAACACGAGCUUUGGGCGGAGGAGAAUCGCGGCACUUAGAGUUUGGGGUACCUUCUGCUGUGCCCGUAGCAGCACUAUUGAAAAGUUAAGGCAGUCAAAGUUUCACGGGCGCAUAGAGAGGGAGAGAGAGAGAGAGAGAGAGAGAGAGAGAGAGAGAGAGAGAGAGAGGGGGGAGGUGUGGGGGCAAGUGUGUGUGCAGCACCACCUACCUCUUCUUGAAGAAAUGUAUUGAAUUGAAUGCUCUUCUCCCCCACCUCCCUCGGAUCUCCAUGUUUGGAGGCACUCCCCCGACAGUUUUUCUGCUAGAUCUGCUGCAAAGAUUAGACUUCUCCCCUCUCUCUCUCUCUAACUCUCUAACUCUCUCUCUCUCUCUCUCUCUCUCUCUCUCUCUCUCUCUCUCUCUCUCUCUCUCUCUCUCUCUCUCUCUCUCUCUCUCUCUCUCUCUCUCUCUCUCUCUCUCUCUUUUUUUUUAACUCUCUCUCUCUAUCUCUCUCUCUCUCUCUCUCUCUCUCUCUCUCUCUGAGAGAAGUGGUUUUAGAUUUGGCACCUGCCACUUGGGUCGCUUUCUCUUCCUCUUCUCUCUCUCUCUAACUCCCGUGUAGCCACUUAAUAUUCAGAUGAUAACCACAAAGAACAGUUCCUUAUCUCUCAUCUCAGGUGGUUGAGUUAAAGAGGAAGAAGCACAUGAGAGGAACUUGUGGGUUUAUUAUGAGAAGGAUGUGCUCUAUAUAUAUAUAUAUAUAUAUAUAUAUAUAUAUAUAUAUAUAUAUAUAUAUAUAUAUAUAUAUAUAUAUAUAUAUAUAUAUAUAUAUAUAUAUAUAUAUAUAUAUAUAUAUAUAUAUAUAUAUAUAUAUAUAUAUAUAUAUAUAUAUAUAUAUAUAUAUAUAUAUAUAUAUAUAUAUAUAUAUAUAUAUAUAUAUAUAUAUAUAUAUAUAUAUAUAUAUAUAUAUAUAUAUAUAUAUAUAUAUAUAUAUAUAUAUAUAUAUAUAUAUAUAUAUAUAUAUAUAUAUAUAUAUAUAUAUAUAUAUAUAUAUAUAUAUAUAUAUAUAUAUAUAUAUAUAUAUAUAUAUAUAUAUAUAUAUAUAUAUAUAUAUAUAUAUAUAUAUAUAUAUAUAUCUACUAUUUAUUCUUUAUUUUUGGUAUUGUUUUAACCCCCCUCUUCUUUGCUCCCAUACCCGCAUGAUCAGUUAUGGGCUCAUGAGAGGUGCAAGUACAUGAACCUAUUUCCAUAUUUUUCUUUUGUCCUUAAUUCCUUUUCUUUUCUUUUCUUUUCUUUUCUUUUUUGGUUUUUUGAGAAAGAGAGGUUGAAAUUUUGUGAGGCUUCAUUUGGAUGGAGAGUAAAGGGGAGAAAAGAAUAGAAAGUUUGCUGAAAAUAAAAAGGAAUCGUUUUUUUUCUUAUUUGAAUGGAAAUCUGAAAAAAAAGAAGAAAAAAAAAAGAGAGGAAAAGAAUGAUCUUCCACAGCAGUCUAUUUUUUUUUCCCUCUCUCUAUAGAAGUAACAAAGAAUCAUAAUUUGUUUAUUUAUUUAUCUUAGGGACCAUAUAUACACAUUGCUUAUUAAUCACAUAAUAAAUAUCCUUGUACAUUUCUCAUUAGUACUGGCUAUUUUGGAAGGAUCCAUCUAUAUAUGGUGCACAAAUUUUUUUAUUUUUUUUUGCUAUUUGUUUUUUUCCUCUCUAUGUACAGCUUCCUAAGAUUGGUUCUAUUACUAGGGUUUUCAAGAGGUUUGGAAUUAAACAGGAAACCCAGUAACCAUUGUGGAGAUCAAAAGCUCAAUUCAAACUUCAGGAAUUUUCAGAGGUUUGUGUGUAUUUAAUUUCUAUAAAAGGUUAGGUUUUGUUUUUCUUUUAAUAUGCUCUUCUUCUCUCUUUUCUCAGUUCAUUCUCUUAUAUAUCUAAACAUGAUCUCAUGCCUUGCUUUUUCAUUAUUAAAACUGUUUUCUGAUUUUUAAUCAAGGUUCUGAAUCAUUUGUGCUUGGAAAUAAUCAUGUUUUCUUUCUGAGAUAUUAAUGUGGAAACCUACUUUUGUAAACCUUGACAAAUUGAUUCAGCAAUUAUUACUUGAUUUAGGAAAAACACUUUUUAGUUUAGAUGAUUACCCUUUUAGUUUAGAUUAUUUCUUUUCUGAUCUACUGAAAUGUUUAGGCUAGCUAUCAAGGAAAAGUAGAACGCAGUAGAGAUGCUUCUUUUAUAAUUAAUUUACUUUGGGUAGAUAUUAAUUAAUUGUUCUAACAAGGGCUAAAAUUAAACCUCAUUAUGAACAACUGUGACAAAUUGUUACAACAGUUGAACUUUGCAAUUAACUACUAUGUUGGUUUUUAAAUGUCUUUAUAAUUACUUCGAAAGGCAAUUUAGAAAGUUCGUGCCAGAAACUCGAAGAUAUAUUUGUCUUUGAUAGAUAAGUGGCUAGGAACUUUCUUUGAGUCCUCUUUUAUUGUACUUUUUCUAGAAAUUUACAAUAUAUAGUUUCUUUGACAAAUUAAAUUCUGGAUCUAUUGGUACUUUCAUGAAGUAUAACCUGUAUAUCUCUAUUUGUUUUCGGAUUAGAAAGUCUUAAUUCAAUGCAAGAUAGGAUCGACCAAGCGAAUUUGCAGUAAACUGCAAAAUCCUUAGCUUGUUAAUUUAUUUUUAGAGAACUAAUAUUGGUUUUACUCUUGAGAUUAUCUCCUUCACCAAUCAAUGUGGAUGAUUAAUUAGAUAUUUCUCCUUGUUGGAUAAUCCCAUCACUCACUUGGUCUCUCUCUCUCUCUCUCUCUCUCUCUCAGUACUGUGAUCAGCUUUUUGUAGCACUGUAUCAUAAUUCUUCUUAGCUAAAUUCCAGUUUACUUUUCUGUAAAUUAAUCUUGGUUUUUAUUAUAUUUGUUUUUAAUAUGACCAUAAACUGCUGUUUUUUUUAAUGGUUAAAUACAAAAACUUACUCUUUUGCAAUCAAAAUAGGAAAAUUUGUUUAACCACGGCCGACAACAAUUUCAUUAAUUCUCCCAAUAUAGAAGAUGAAAAUUAGUGUUUGGUUUGCAUUUAUUCCGUCCUUUAUUUUCCUUACAAAUAAGCUUAUUUAGGUACUUUAUAAUGGCUUCAGAAGAUCUAAUUGGAGGGUAUGAAAGAGCUUCCUUCAGUCCACUCAUGGAUGGUUGUGGGGUUUGAAUUCGCUGCCGACUCAUUCAAUCAAACACUCGGUAGAAACAACAAUUCAAGCACGCUCAGUAGAAUCAAUGGAAUUGAUCCUCUAUUGAAGGCACGCACAAAAGUGGAACCAGACCUCAGUUACUGAGUGAAUGAGUGAAUGAUGCGGGAGAUUAUUCUCUCCUUCUCAUUCCAUGCUUGGACUGAAGGGAGCUCCCUCUUUCUCUUCUGUUGGACCUUCUUCACUAUUUUUCCUUCUUUUGCUUGAUCAAUUACAUCAUCGGAUAACACAUCGCUCUCUUUUGCUUUUUUUCAAAUCCUAGUUGAUUUAUAUUUCUAGCUAAGUUUAUUUCUUUAAGAAAUAAACGAAGCGGGUAGCAUGUUAUCUUUCUCUCUCAAUAAAAAAAAAAGACAUCGCUCUUUUUUUAUUUCUUCACCGUUUUAAGUUAGUGGUUUUUUUUUUAUAAUUACAUCUCUUAUCUAUUGUUGCUUCUUUCGCUAGUUAAUUAAGAAACUUCAUAGGUGUUAUUACUAGAUGAGCCUUAUCUUAGUCUAGGUAGAAUAUGACAUAUCUGCCGGAACCGAUCACGUAUAUAAAAACACCUAAUUAAAUAGUUCCCCCAUUAAUUAAUUAGGUAGAUCUCAGAUAUUAUUUCCAUGUCGGUCGUCUUCGGUAUAAUUCACCAUAGACGAGGCAAAGGCAAGAAUAAAUUAAUUUGGCCCCAUUAGUAUAUAUCAAUGCUUCACAUUUUUUGUUAUUAUUUCAUGUGGAACUAAACUUAUUACGCGUAGGUAUACAGCUGACUCAUUUUAUAGAUGCGCAAUAGAUUCUUUAUUUAUUUCCAAUUAAUUUUCCUUCAUAAGUAUAUCGAGUUAUGUUCAUGAUCUAUUUGUUGAAUCAUCGGAUAAUUAAAACAAAUUGUCCGGUAAAACCAGCCGAAGUACAAAGUUCGCAAAGCGACGAACUCCAAGUACUUAGGUUUCUACAUGGCAGAUCUCGAAUAUUUUUCACUUGUCUUAUCAUUUAAUAUAUAAGGUAUUAUACAGUAGAUAAUGUGAGUGGAAUUCAUUCAACGCAAGUACUUCGGUUCGCUGAAUUUUUUUCUUAUAUAUCAUACAUAUAAAAUCCUUUAAAACCUGCAUUAUUUUCUACGUGGGAGCUAUUUUUUCACACGCACAUAAUCCAAUGAUAUUCAUCUUUGCAUAUCAAAUUUUAAUCAUGUUAUUAUUUAUUUUUCUUGUGCUCAACUAUAUGGCCAAGGAAUCAAAGUAGUGGAGCCUAACAUUUGGAGCUAAGCUAUGGAUCACUGUGCAUGUCUCAUAUCUAAGUUGGUGACAAACUUUGAGUUACCCGGGCCAUUGAACCUUGCAAUACUCCCAACUAGUUCAAAAUCAAUUAGCAUCAUUUGAUGUGAACAAAUCAUGGAACUUUUGGCUCUGAUACCAUUUCCGGGUCGAUGGAUGCGACACGUCGUUUCGAACCUAUCCAUUUCGAACCUAUCCAUCCGAAAAGCUUAAGCCUAUAGCUAGCUAGAUACAAUUAAUGCAAUUAGAUGCAUCAACCCUUAGGUGCAAAUUUUAGUUAUCUUCAACUAGUGGCUAGUGCACCCGCACCCACCCAGGAAUCCCGUAAAAGUUGAUGUUAUUUUAUUUGUGUUAAGGAUUUAACCCCUGCUAUAAUUGUGAUUCUAAUCUUUCUUUUGAUCACAAUGACUCCAACUGCGGCUUCUUGGAACUUGGAUUGGUUUUUAAAUAUGCAAUUCCUCUUUAUCUUCUGGUCAAAGCAUGCAGGGAAUACCAAUGAUGCACUCUUUAAUUUGAGUUGUUCAAACUCCCACUCAAACUGAUGUAGACACCCACUUCAUGCGUUUGUAUAUAUUUACCUGCAAAUGCACAAGUAUAUAUACACAUAUCAGAGAGAGAGAGAGAGAGAGAGAGAGAGAGAGAGAGAGAGAGAGAGAGAUACAUAGAUAGUUAUAAAUGAAAGCAUUUCACUUCGACAUUGUCUACAUAUAUAAUAAAAGCUUAUGCAAAAGCCUAUCUCUAGCUUGUGCUUUUUGGUCUGAAAAGCUUCAAGUAGAGCAGAUAUUACUGUUUACCAACAGUGAAAGUACAAAACUUUCAGGUUUAUUAUUUUUAUAUUAGUGACCUCAUGUGUUGUUUACUUGUUUGCAGUGUAAAGAUUUUUCUUUCUUUAAAAAAAGAUUUGGUGUACAAUAAUAUUAUUUUGGUACUUUCUCUAUGUAUCCCUUCAUUAAACACUGUUCCCUCUUCAGCAAUUCCCAGAAGGGUGUGAAGAAAACAUAAAGAGAGGGUUUAUUUUAUACUCUUUUUUUAUUUCCCUCAAGUAGCAUGUUAUUCUUAGAUUAUGUUGUGGAAGUACAAUUACAUCAGUAUUUAAUGUUUAUGCUGAGGUGUAUCUUCUGAAAAUGUGUAAUAUAUAAUUCCCAUUAAGUACUGUUUUGUCAGCAUAAUUAUUAUCUUUUUUUGUGCUUGUGUGUGUUUUUGGCGUACUCUUUGAAAUAGGUUCUAUUUCAAAUGGCAUUGAAGUACCCUUCAAAAACUUCAUUUUACUGGAGAUUUAAAGAUGGUAAGUUAGGGUAUGAGAUCUUCUAAAUAUGGAAAACUUGCUUGUGUAGGGCUUAAGUUUAUGUAGGCUCAGCUAUGUAAGGGAAUGGCCAAAUAUGGAAAGAGAUUAUAUAUAUAUAUAUAUUGAGACUAUAUAUUUGAAGAGAAGUAAUGUUAAUUUAUAUGCGUGUGUUAGUUCAUGUGGGUGCCGUAUAUAUACGGUGGCCUCUCAGAUGCCUGUGCAUUUUACUAACAAGUUGCGUUUUAAGUACUCUUUUAACUCUUUCGUUUUAUUGUUCAUUAGGAUUUAUUAGAGUUUCCCUACAAAGCAGCUUAAUUAAACAUCUCCUUUACAUCAAUUCAUGUAUUUAAAUCCUCGUUUCAUGUGUAAACGCCUCGCCUCAGAGUUUUUUUAACUUUGUUUUGCCUCUCUUUUAUAUAUCUUUCGCGAGCUACUGACAUGAUAUUGGUUACGUACGCUAUAUACAUAAUUUUUCAAUAUCUCUCAUUAAUUUUGUCCUACUUAUAUAGCUUUAUUGCCUGUGUUUCAAGAGCGUUUGGAUCGAUGUAAUUGCACUUGGACUAGCUGUUUUAAACCGUGAUUACGCAAUUUCUGUUGUUGAGCACAAUAAUAUUAAUGUUGAGAAAUUUUGCUAUACGUGAAAGUUUAAAGUCGUCUUUCAUAAACAGAUCCAAAAAAAAAAGCCUCUUGUUCUCAUGACUACCCUAAAAUUUGUAUAAAAUUUUAUUCAUAUGUACCAGUCUGGGCUAUGGAUAUAAUGAUUUAUCUGCGGUUUAUCCUAUCUGCCCGUUUGUCAGGUAUAUAUAUAUAUAUAUAUAUAUAUAUAUAUAUAUAUAUAUAUAUAUAUUGACAGAUACAACAUUGUGCUCUAUUACUGAGAAAGUUAACGCACUUUUUACAUUCUUCCAAAUAUUCAUUCAUAAGCCCGUAAAUAGGUCCAAAUCUUGCACUCCACUUAUCCUCGGAUUUAAAAAUUUUUUGUGGGUCUUUAGUAUUAAAACUAACUAACAAGAGUAGCGAGAGAAUAAUAGUCUCUAGGAUGAAUUGUGUGUAAAUUUUACCACUAUAAAUAUUUGUAUAUGUAGCAUUGCGCGUGCAAGCAUAAUGACAUGAUGAGACAUAAUUAGCUGAUGAUGGUAGAGUUUAUAAGGUUAUCCUCUUUGAAUGCACGACUUUUGUCGCAGCUCAUUUUUUUCCACAGUGGUUGUGGAAUGGUGAGCGUUGGGGACGUGAAUUUCAGAAUGGUUGGUUGAAGGUUUUCUGCGUAGCCGAGGCCGCGCUGCCGACGAUGUUCCUUGGGAAUGUUUGGUUGCCUGCUGUGAGCCGACCACCGGCGGUGGAACUCACUAUCACCUCCCCGCUUUCUAUGGUUCAGCGCAGCCUUCAGCGACCUUUUUCUUAUGUAUAUGGAUAAUGCUGUUAUAUAUUAUUAAUGUGUUACUAUAUAUACCUGAUAUAAAAAUUUUAGGAUAAAUUUUAAUAUAUCUCUUUAUCUUUAGUUCUAAUCUUACUUCUCUUGGCUGUAUAUAAGUAAUAAAGUGAUGUUUUACUUUAUUACUUUGCUGUAUUGUGGCUGCAAAAAAUAUCACAUUGCUAUCCAGUUUAACAAUAAAUUUUUAUUGUAAAAUAGAAAUAAAACUAUAGAAUAGUUAAAUAUUAUUUUUUGAAUCGUGAAAUGAUUAAGUAAAAAUGAGCUAAAUCAUGACGGCUCAAAUUAAAGUUUGUACAAAAUUUUAAUUAGUUUAUGUUCCAUCUUGUAUUUAAGUGGAUAGUUAAAUUAGUAAGAAUUAGAAGUGUGAUUAAUGGCUGCACCACACAAGAUAUAUCCAAACUAAUCUUAUUAUGCCAUAUAGAAUGAUAAAAAGUCAAACAGAAAAUAAUAUAAUAUUUAUUCGCAUAUCAAAUAACAGUGAUGGAAGAGACUUUUGCCCUUGAAUUGGCCCUUUCAUUUUCAAGGGUGAAAAAUACUAAUGACAAUUGCGCAAUCACUUGUUAGGGAAGUUACAAGAAUAUCCCCGAUUUUGUGCUUUCAAAGGAUAAGCGAAGCCAAAUAGCAAUCAUACAAAAUAAAAGACGCGAAUUUAUGUGGUUUACUUAUGCCUGCAUCAACAUAAAACGACAAGGAAAAAAAAAAUUGUAAAGACAACUUCCACUGUAAAAUGAAAGCAAAAGAAAGUUAUCAGCUCUCAACAAAACUAAUUUAAAGAAACUUGAGAUUCCACCUUGCCAGAAGAAGGGAAACACGAGUUUAGGAUUCUGUUCAAUUUUCACACAUACUCUAUUCUUUUCAUGCUUCCCUUCUAAGCACGCCAUACUUUAGCUCUCAAAAAAUAUGAACCCAAAGAAAGUAUGUUCUAAUAGCUAGACAACUGGGAAGAUCAAAUAUCGGAUACAACAAACCAAGGUUCAUGCAGUGGCAUGGAGUCGUGCCGAAACCUUGUCGGCAUGAUAUGGCACGGUAUGUGCUGGUAAAAAAAAAUAUACAUAUGUGCCGACACAUAAUAGCAUAAAAUAUUUAUUUUUUUUACUAACAAAAUAUUCUAAUUAUUUAUUAUAUAUUUUUAUCAAAUUUUCUUAACUUUAUUGAAAAAAUUACUUAUUAAUUUAAAAAAAGAAGAGUUUUAAAUUAUGUAAUCAACACGGGGCUGUAUCAUGUUGAUAUCUUGUUGACACGAUACGGCAUGGUAGAUACGGCCCGUGCCGAUAGGCACUAAAUCCUUGUGACAAACUUGGAAAGCGCAACUUACAAGCAAGACUUAAUACUUGUUCAUCAAAUUAAAAUAGAGGGAAAAGAACAAGCCCUUUUGGUUGAAAAGGAAAAGGAAAAUACUUAAUGUAAAUUCCCACCUCACUAAACUGUUUUUGGUUCAUUUAUAUGAACUUUUAAUCUUCUUAGAUGCGUGUAGUUGUCGACAAAGUGGCGGAACCAAUAACAGCAAUCUACCGGCGGGUCUCACUGUCAUAUUGUCUUGAGAGAACUUGGGGGCGGUUCGAGUGUACAUCAUUGUUGUAGACCCCAAAGAGUCCUCCCCGAAACCGCAUGCCUUGAAGAACAACCUAGAAGCAUCACAAUUUAUUAGAGUUUUUAAGGUGCAAAAAUAAAUAUAAAUUGCAGGCUAAUGUUGUACAAAACAAGGACAAAGUGGAAGCGUAUCAUAUUAUCAUAUCUGAAGCCAGGUUUUAUGGAGUACGUCUGCAAAUACCAACUUUGCAGUGGUAUUUCCAUAAUGUCGCAUAUUUGGUAUAUAUGCAAAAAAAAAAAAACGUAAAUUUUAGCUGCACAUAAGCAUGCAAUUGUUUCUAGUUGUUACAUUUACCCGAAAUACCAAUUUCAGCUUGAAACUAAUGAAACACCAAAGUAAGGACAUGAUAUAACAAAAUACCAUACGGCAACAUAGUACUUGCUUAGUUAAUCUCUCAUAUGAUUUAAUUUCUAGAAAAUAAACCAAAUCUAUGGAUCUCAAGACAGAAGUUACCAAACUCGAAGUUUAUUAGGGCAGACCAACAGCAGCAUUUAGUUCAUCAUUUCACAAUUUAUGAUUUAACACAAUUUAUCCUUUCACAGCUUACCAGCAGCAAAGGAACAUCAUAAUGGAUACACAACAAUCAUACUUACAUCCUUAAAUAUUGAUGUGUCAUUAGAUUUACUGCUAGAAGUGCAUGAAUAUGAAUUAAAACAAUUUUCAAGGACACCAUUCCGCCCCAAGAAAAGUAUAUUCAACCACGAAAACUAAUUUCCAACAACCCGACCUAACAUCCACACAGGAAGAAAAUAUAUUUCCACUCCCCUAACCAAAGGAGCUUGCUUCUUACGAAUAAGCUCACGCAACAAGAUAUAGUAUAUAGAAGGGUCAUACCUCUCCUUUUCUGUACACAAGGCCGAUAUGUCAUAUAUGCCUCUGCUAGUGAGUACCCUGGAAAAUUGUUUCAAAUAUAAAAAUCACAUUCAGGCUAGUCAAGUCAAACCGAAAUAAUGAUUCUCGCAAGUUGAACCUAAUGAAUGGUUUCAAAAAAAAGCUAUCUAACUUUGAAUUGGCAGCAAGAUAUACAGGGAUUUUCAAUAGCAGAAUUAUAACAGUUGCAAAAAAAACUUUUCCUUUCAGAAGAAAAUAUAGGUGUGUUUACCAAAAAACAAAAAGAGAGCAUACUUUUUUGUAUACCUGAUAAUUCUUUCAACUAUUUUUCGACCAAUACCGCUCCUUUGUAGUAGUGGAUUGACCUGAAAAUUACUGAAUGAAAUUCAUAUGAAUAUUUGCACAUACAUGACACUUUUAUAGCAGGAAAGCAACAAAAUUACAAAAAAAAAAAGAAAAGAAAAAGAAAAAGAAAACUACAUUUCUGCUCCUGUUUUAAGCAUUCAAGGUUUACCGGACAAUAGUUACGGAUUUCUACAGUCAAAUGUAUGCAUCAACAUGCAUUCCCAGCUAACAAAAUACAGCGGCACCUGUCCAAUUAAUGAACUUCAUAAUGCACAAGUAUGCAUCUCCGAGUUUUAAAAUAAAUCCAUGGAGGUGUGGAAAAACGUUGCAUUCUUAAAGCAUGUUACUGAAAAAAAUCAAGAAACUAAAAAAGAAGAGAAAAGAUAGGCAUGGAGAAAGUGUCAUGAAUUUGAAGUUCUGUAACUAUCACAAACUUUACUUUCUAUCUAUAAAUAAAAUGAAAUUUAAACAAAUAGAACAGGAUUCCGCAAAGAUUUAUCUUCUUGGCUGUAAGAUACAUCCAAACUCACUCAAAACAAGAUCUCUAUAUAAAUUUACGAAUUUAGUAAUAGCGCUGACCAUGCUCGAAAUGUAUUUAUCUAAUAAGUUCUAAGAGCAAGUGAUAAUUCCUUUUACUUCCAAAAUUAUGGACAAUAGUCUAUGUCACCACGACUCAAUAGCAUGCAAUAAAGAAUUUAGGAUUGGCUGUAAUAUAACAAAAAGAAAAUCUAAAAGAAAUCACCAAAAUAUGUAAAGUAAGCCGAAAAUAGCUUAAGCAGCAAAACUUGAAGAUAUUCCAUGAAAUCAAAAUGAACCGCAUACGUUGAAGAUUUUAAAUGUGCUUAGGAUUGUACCACGUGGAUAGAAAUUGCGAAAGGCCACUUGCAUCUAUCACUGAAAACUAAAGCUACUUACCGAUAUGCCUGGGCUGAUCAUCUUUUAUUACUUCUAUUUCUAAUCUUCUCUGAAUCUCAUAACACCAGACCCUAUUUGGUUAUGUGGCUAACAACAUGACUUAUCCUUUUAAACUGUAUCACAAAAACAGGACGAAUCGAAGAGCCCACACAAUACAAUUGGUCAAAGGGUUUACUCUUAAUGAACCUUAUUUUCAGAAGCACAACACAGCAUUCACAUUGUACGCACAAAGUUAAAGUAACCGCUUUAUCAAUUACUCUAAUUAGACAAUCGAACUACGCAAAUUUCAAAACUAACCAUCAAACUCCACCCACAGAAACUCCCUAGAAAUGAUCAAUUCCAUAAACCCUACUCAAAACUAGCAAAAUAUCCUCGCGAAAAACAGUAUAAAUUGGACAGAUUCAAAGAAAAACAUUACCACCACAUCAUGAAUCGAAGCGGUGAGGCCACCAUCCGAAACCGCCCUCCCGAACCCCACCAACCGGUGAUCGGACCCCGACACGGGGAGCGCCCUCUCGAAGAGCUCUUCAAAUCCUAACCCUAGCCCUGGACCAUCGCGCUCGUCGUCCCGGUCUAAGAAUUGGGCCCUGCAGAAGACGGAGACGACGACGAAGCUGUGGGCGAGGGCGCGGCGGAGCUUCCGCGCGUCGACGGGCUCGGCGCGGCCGCAGGGGCCGGCGAGGGGGAAGCGGUCGCAGGAGAGGUUGCAGGAGAGGAGGAGGUCGCGGAGCUGGAGGGGGUCGAGGUGGGAGGGGUUCGUGGAGAUGGUGAUCGGAGGGACUCUUCGUCUAGGGUUUCGAGAGUUCGAGUGAGGGGAGAAGGGGAAGGAGGAGGAGGAGGCGGAGAUCGUGGCCAUGGAGGCGGAGCUCGCCAUGGGCGAAGGAGAGGGAGGUUUUAUCUCUGGAUUUGUGCGCAAUGUGAAAUACAAAACGAAGAGAGAAAGGUCCCGGAGCACCACGUCACUUGUGGACGAUCUUUCUUCGUUCAUUUUAACAUGUAUUAAAUGAUGGUCUAUACAGAAUUUUAGUAAAUAUCUAAUCAAUUUAGUUUGAUUUUUUGAUGUGUUUAAUAAAAAAAAUAAAUCUUAGUAUUGAAAAAAAAAUUUAUAAUUUUAAUUAUUUUGUUAAUUUGGGUUGGCCUGAUAUUUAGUUUUAUUUUUACUUACUCUAACCUCCAUCAUUUUGAAUUAAUUUUGAAUUUAAAAUUAUUUCUUAAAUUUUUUAACUGAAUCAAGUCUAAAAUAUUUAAAAUCAACUUGGAUUCCAAUCGGAUAUGAUCUUAAUUCCAAUAAAUUUUCUAAUUUUGGAAACUAAGAAUUAAAAUAAAGAUGAAAGAAAGAGCAUACCUAAUGCUCACUAUAAUAUAAUUUCUUUAUUAGUUAAUUGAAAAUAAAAAUUUUCAAAAGCAUGGGAUCUAGCACGGAGGAGCGUGCACCGGGUGCACGAAGCAUUUCUGACGCCACGUGGCUAAUCAUAAUACGUGCUUUCCCGUGCUUGCCUUUUUCACCCCAUCCCGCGCACUCCACGUGUACCACGUGGGCCCCAGCUUAUCCCCUGUCCCCGCCACAAACUCAACCGCUCGUUCUCCCUCCAACGCCCCCAAAUCAAAACCACACAAUUCCCUCUCUCCACCACAACGCAAACACCUCCCCUUCCCAACCUCAGCGAGAGCAAAAAAAAAAUAAAAAUAAAAAAAUAAUAAUAAUAGUAAAAGAGCAAGCAAUCGAUGUCGUCCUCAGCCGCCGCGCUCCGCCUAUCCUCGCCGCUCCCCUUGGCCUCGUCCUGCGGGCGUCGGCGGCGGAGGGGCCGCGCGGCCGCAUUUUCAAUACGGUGCGGGAUUGGGGACUUGAUCGGGGGCGACCUGGUCCGGCCGGACCUGGGGCGGUGGCUCGACGACGUGGAGAAGCACAAGGCGCUGGCGGUGUACUCGCCGCACGAGGGCGGGUACGAGGGCCGGUACCUCAACCGCCUCCGCUACAAGGGCUACCGCUUUCUCGACCUCACCGCCCGCGGCCUCGGCGACCCCGAGUCCACCCUCACCAAGAUCCACCCCGUCUGCCCUGUACGUCCAUCCGUCGUUCCCCUCCCUCUCUCUUAUAUUUUUUUUCUGUCUGUUUAGCUACGCUUCUGCUUUCAUUUUUAAGUCUUAAAAUUUUACCUCAGCGAUAAAAUAAAAAAAUAAGAUACGUUUUAAUGUGAUAGUAAGCGCAAUUCAAUUAAGUCCUAUAAUCUAUCACUUAUAACUUAUGGAUGAUGGAACCGCUUCUAAUAGUAAUAUUGAUUAUAACACUGAUAUUGUACCUAUGAUUUAUGACAGGACAGAGCUCACAUCUAAUUAUAUUUCAUAUUACUUUUAUAUAUUAUUUAUUUUUUCAUGCACCAUAUUGCUGACUUGGAAAACUAAAGAGUGCAGCCUCACCUUGGAAGACAGCCCAUAGCAAGAUGGUAUUUCCCUCCUGAGGUGGAUUACAGGCUUUCUUUGUUGCAUCCAGAUGCCAUAGGCCUUGUUGUAUGGAUUAUUGAAGCAAAGGUUUAGCUUCUCAGCUAUUUUUUAACAUUUAGAUAACAAAAAAUUUAAAGCAUUAUUAGUGUACUUGGUCGCAUUCUCUCUGUCUACGCACUUUAUAUUUCUUUUAGAAAUAAACUUAGCUGGAAAUGUGAAUCAACUAGAAUUUGAAUUUAAGAUCUCGAAUACCAACCACUAAAUCCUUUACUACUUGUGUUAGGAAUGGUCGGUAUUGAAUAUAAAUAUUAUAAAUACCGUUUUUUGAUAGUUUAAACUUUAAAAAAAAUAAUACUUGUUUAUAUUAUUUAGCAUGCUAUUUAUGUAGAAAUCUCUGAAUUCGAAUCUCAUUGGCCUUCUAGUCUCAUUUAAUUUCUUCCCAUUUUAGGUUUGUCAAAAUAUCUCGAACUCAGAUAUGAGAAAAAAAUAUUGAAAACAGAUAUUCUAAACAUCGUUCUAGCUCAAGUUUUUAAAGAAAAUUAGUUGUUUUAUAUCAUUUAACACUCUUCUCAUCGGUGAUUGUUUGGUAGGUUCUAUCAAAGGCCGAACUGCAGUUCCUUGCGCUGCUUCCGAGCCUUCGACCUAAAGUUAGAGUUAUUGCAGAAUGCGGCAACUGGUAAUAUAACGGGAGCUAAAAUUGAGUUUUUGCACCUCAGAAGCAGAUGUUUCAUUUGAUACUUUUUCUUUUUUUUUGGCGAUGAAAAUACUUAAUGAAAGAGAUAUAUGGAUAAUUCUGUUAAAAGAUAUAUUCAAAAAAUACUCCUGCAAAAGCUCUUAUAUAGCCCAAUGGGCCAUAAGUUCAUAACUUCUUAAGUUUUAGAUAAAAAAUAAGAUGAAAAUCAUAAAGAAGAUAAAGUUUCUUCUUUUCUCUCUUUUUUUUUUUGUGCAGGAGAAAAUUUGUGUGGAAGCCACUGAAAGAAAUAGCAGGUCUUUCACCAGGGGGAGAACUAGAAACCAGUGGUUCACAACAAUGACUAUGGGAAGCUAAUUUUGCAAAAUUUAGAUCUUGAUUUGUGUUCAUGUUCUUUUUUAUCUGCUUCAAGCAGCUGCAAUAUAUUUCAUGCACAGUUUUAACUAAUUUGAAGUGCAAAAUCGCUGGACGCGUUGUUUAAGAUGAUACAGGCAUGCAUAAUUAAUUAUAGGAUCAGAGAAAACACAGUAAAUUAGAAAGAGCACUCAGAGCUUUUCAUUUGUAAUAUUGUGGCUGAAUUAAAUUUCUCUCUAUGCAAACAAUUAGAAGCUCGAAAAUUUUCUUUUGCUAAACCUUUCCCCCCUAUUUUUUCUUUUUUUUAAUCUUCAUUUGUCGACUUGUUCACUCUUAAUUAUCUUUGACUGUUUUACUUUAGUUCAAAUUUGUAGAAUUUGAUUUUUAAUUUUAUAAAAUUUAGUCCCACAUUGAAAAUGAUACUAAAACUAGAUACCAUUAUUAUAGUUAAGGUAAAAAGCACAUUAAGUUGUCGACAAGCUCGAGCACAGGGAUAGGUCGGGAUAUUUUAAGAGAUAUAAUAAUAUCUAAUACUCAGCUCAAAAUUUGAAAAAUAUUUUAUUUAUUUGUGAAGAAUCAAAAUAUUUUUAUUGAUUUUAAAUAAUAAUAUUUUUUUAAGAAAUAUCCCUGUUUCUUCUGGAGUUUAUUAAUUUGCUUGGAUUUAGAAGAAUGUUCUAAAUAGUGAAGAAUAAAUUUGAAAUUGAUUUUAAAAAAUUCCUUCAAACAUUUUGAUCUUCUCUAGAGUUCACUGAUGAAACUAGAUUUUAGACGAAUAUUUUGAAUAUUAAUAAAUUAAAAUUAAAAUUUUAAAUAGUAGUAAAGUAUAAAUAAGCAAAAGUCCCUUAUUUUAAUUUAUCCUUGUGUGUCUCUUGAAGUUUAAACCAGCUUAAUUUUUUUUUUUGAGAAAGAUAGAUAGUCUGCUAUCCGCUUUGUUUAUUUCAUUUAAAAAUAAACUUAGCUGAAAAUAUGAAUCAAUUAUAAUUCGAAUUUGGGACCUUAGAUAUCAAUCACCAAGCCCUCUGUUCGCUAAGGACAAUCGGUCAGACCACCUUAAGUUCCUCGACAACCUUACGCUACUACCGUUUUAAGUUUUAACCAAAAGCACAGGAAAAAAAAAUAACACUUAUUAAGGGAUGAUAUCUAAUAUGACUUUUAAAAUUUUAAAAAUAUUUUAUUUAUUUUGAGACAAUAUAGAUAUUUUUAUUGAUUUUAAAAAAUUCUUUCAAAUAUCCCUAUUUCUCAUCAUGUUUACUAAUGAGGUUGAAUUUUUUUUAAAAAAAAAUUGAUAAUUUUAAAAUAAAUUUAAAAUUUUCAAUAGUACCAAAGAGUAAAUAAAUAAAGGUAAACUUCAAAUACCAUCAUGUAGUUUUGCACUUUCUCAUUUUAGUAUUUUGUGGUUUUCUCUUUUUUUUUCGUUAGCGCCUUUGUUAACUUUUCGUUAAAUCAUAUACAAAAAACUUCAGAUACCCUACUUAUGAUUUAUCGAAUAUUUACUUUAGUAUCAUGUGGUUUAUCAAAUUUUCACUUUACCAUACUAUGAUUUUAACUUUGUCACCGAUUUAAUGAAAAAAAUUAAUAGAGGGAACAACGAAAAGAGAAAAAUAAGAUUACGAGAUAUAAAAGUNAUCAGAGAAAACACAGUAAAUUAGAAAGAGCACUCAGAGCUUUUCUUUUGUAAUAUGAGUGAGGCUACUAUGCUAUCGGAAGCAUGGAGCCUUCCGUGCUUCCAACUCGUUUUCGAUAUUGUGACUUUCAAAUCGUCGAUCGGCUCCGUUAAACUUGAUCUAGAGUAUUUGAAGUACCUAGAAAAUAAAUUUUAUGAUUUUACGAUAUCAUUUGCCUAAUAAACGAAGCGGCUCAAAAUCAACGGCUGAAAAUAAAAAUCUUACAAAAUAUAAUAAUAUGACAUUAAAAUUUUAAAUCAAAGAUAUUGAUCUUGUUUUAUAUAGUAUAAAGAAUUUUCUAUCAAAACUUCACAUGAUUUGGAUAUUUCUACACCGUUAAGCUUGCAAACGGCUCACUACAGCUAUUGAAAUUUAUUGAUUUUGAGCCCAUUCGAUCACUAGGCAAAUGAUAUCGAAAAAUAAUAAAAUUUAUUUUCUAGGUACUCCAAAUACUCUAGAUCAAGUUUAACGGAGCCGAUCGACGAUUCGAAAGUCGUAACAUCGAAAACAAGCUGGAAGCACGGAAGGCUCCGUGCUUCCAAUAGCAUAGGA
rnacentral:lncRNA from 1 species